rnacentral:lncRNA from 1 species
AAUGUCAAACCUAUUAGUACUCCAUUAGCAGCUCAUUUCAAACUUUCAUCUGCUUUAUCUCCACAAUCAGAUGAUGAUGUUGAUUAUAUGUCACGAGUUCCAUAUUCUAGUACAGUGGGAUCUUUCAUCUAUGCUAUGGUUUGUUCAUAUCUAGAUUUAUCAUAUGCAGUCAGUAGAUAUAUGAAAAUCUUGUAAAAGAACAUUGGAAAGCAGUUUAGUGGAUUGUCAGAUACUUGUGUGAUUUUAUUGAUGUUUAUUUGUAUUUUGGGAAAACUAGAGAUGUAGUUGUUGGGUAUGUCGAUUCUGAUUUUGUUGGUGAUCUUAAUAAAAGAAGAUCACUUACAGGAUAUGUUUUUAUUGUUGGUAGUUGUGCUAUUAGUUGGAAAGCUACUUUGCAGACUAUAGUUGCUUUGUCUACUAUUGAGGCUAAGUACAUGGCUAUUACAAAGGCUUGUAAGGAAGCUAUUUGGUUAAAAGGACUAUUUGGUGAACUUAGUGACAACUUGCAGAUUACCAUGGUUUUUUGUGUUAGUCAGAGUGCUAUUUUUCUCACAAAAGAUCAUAUGUUUCGUUAGAAGACAGAGCACAUUGAUGUGCGAUAUCAUUUUGUGCAUGAUAUCAUUGCUCGUGAUGAUAUUGUUGAGGCCAAAGUUAGCACCCAUGAUAUAUAUGGUGAAGAAAAAAAAUUAUGGAUUUUUCCUACUUUAUUUAUUUAUUUCUCUCUCAUAUAUAUUUUUGAGAUGACAUAUAGGUUUUCGGGGAUUUAUAUAGUAGCCGCUUGAUACUCUUCCUUUUUAUACCAAUUUUUGACAUAGUGGAUUUUUUUUCUUCUCAUUUGCUCGUGGUUUUUCUCGUCUAGGGUUUUAUACAUAAAUAUGUGUAUGUUCUUAUUUUUUCUUGUUGUCUAUUCUCGUUUCAUUUUUUUCAUAACACGGACAAUAUCUACAUAGUUGGGAAUGAGUCGUUGCAAAUGUAUUAGAAUCGAUCAUCGACCUCAAUGUAAGCCUCUAUUUGUUUGACCUUCCAAGGAGUGUCAAUUUGUUUAGUCCUGUAAUCACAUAUAAUAUAACAAGAAUGUUGUAUCUAUAUAAAAGAGUGUUUAUAAUAUCUCACAUCAGAUAGAAGAGAAAGUUCCUAAUGUCAUAUAUGUAUGAGCUUAUCUUAAUUAAGUAAACGUUUAAAGUUGUGAGGGUUUUCUUGGAAUCAAUGCAGAUAAUAUCUACACAAUAAGGAGUGAGUCAUUAUACACCAGGAUUAAUUUCAUUGACCCCUCAUGAGGUUUUAAUUAAAUACGCCUAACAUUUAUUGGUUUGAAAUUUCAUUAUAUGUUUUCCUUAUCAUUUUCAUUUGAUAUUUUCACUUACCUACCCUCUAAUUCAAAAUAAGAAAAGUAUUCAAUGAAUUUUCAAAUCAAUAAGAAUUAGUCAUAUUUAGUUAAAACCUCAUAUUUAUUGGUUUGAAAUUUCAUUAUAUGUUUUCCUUAUUAUUUUCAUUUGAUAUUUUCACUUACCUACCCUCUAAUUCAAAAUAAGAAAAAUAUUCGAUGAAUUUUUAAAUCAAUAAGAAUUAGUCGUAUUUAGUUAAAACCUCAAAAGAGGUGAAUGAAAUUUUCCUCCUUUGCAUCUACAUAUAUUGCUACAAUUUUAAGAGCUUUUAUUAUGAGAUUUUUAUUCUUUAUUCUUCAACAAUAUCAAAAGGUGGUUUGUCGUGGCAGUUGAGUGUGUUUUCUCCUUUUCAACCUUCAGUUUUUUCAUUUAUUUUCAAAUAGGAGUCUCAAGUGCUACACCUACUGAUCCAGCACAUACAAUUGUGUACUAGUUUUUAUUUUUGACUUGCAAAUAAAUUGCAAGCUUGGGGACAACACGAUCUUUAUUACUGUUAUAAUGUCAUAUUGGUGUUGCCAUGACAUCGGUAAAAAGAGGACUUUUCUCAAUAGUACGGUAAUUUUAAAAAAUUAUUCUUAAAUUAUUAUUGUAGAAAAAGUUAUUACAAAUAUAUGGUAAUUUUUACCACUUAGGAGAGAUGGUGAACAGAUAAAUUUUUUUUUUAAAACCAAAAUCGUAUUUUCAAAAGACGAUUUUAUUUCCAUUUUAAAAGGGAAAUCAUCUCUUCAAGAGACGAGUUCCCUUGAGGAUUUUGUUUAUUUAUUUAUUUAUAAUUUGAGAUUUAAAAAAAAUAUAUUAAUUUCAAUAGACGAGUUCCCUUGAGGAUUUUUUUUUUAAUUUGAGAUUUUUUUUAAAAAAAUAUUAAUAUUUUUUCAUGGGAACUCAUCUCUUCAAGAGACGAGUUCCCUUGAGGAUUUUUAUUAUUAUUAUUUUUUUAAUUUGAGAUUUUUUUUUUCAUGGGAACUCGUCUUUAGAAAAGAAGAGUUCCCUUGAGGAAUUUUUAUUAUUUAUAAUUUGGGAAUUUAAAAUUUUUUUUUUCAUGGGAACUCGUCUCUUCAAGAGACGAGUUCCCUUGAGGAUUUUUUUUCUUUUUUUUUUUAAUUUUAUAAUUUGGGAUUUUUUUUAAAAAAAAUAUUAAUUUUUUUUCAUGGGAAUUCAUCUCUUGAAGAGGCGAGUUCCCUUGAGGAUUUUUUUUUUUUUUAAUUUGGGAUUUUUUUUUAAAUAUAUAUAUUUUUUCACGGGAACUCGUCUCUUGAAGAGACGAAUUCCCUUGAGGAUUUUUUUAAAAAAAAAUAUUGAUUUUUUGAAAAAAAAAAUAUUAAGAGACGAGUUCCCUUGAGAAAUUUUUUUUAUUUUUAUAAUUUGGGAAUUUUUUUUAAUAUAUAUAUAUUUUAUGAGAACUCGUUUCUUGAAGAGACGAGUUUCCUUGAGGAAUUUUUUUAUUUAUAAUUUGGGAUUUUUUUUAAAAAAAAUAUUAAUUUUUUUUCAUGGGAAUUCCCUUGAGGAUUUUUUUAUAUUUUUUUUCAUGAGAAAUGUUUUUUGAAGAGACGAUUUCCAUGAGUUUUUUAUUUUAUUUUAUAAUUUAUAAUAAAUAUUAAAAAUAUUAAUUUUCUUUAAUGGAAAUCGUCUCUUCCUUUUGAAUUUUUUUUAUUUUUAAAUGGAAAUAAAAUCAUCUUUUGAAAAGACGAUUUUGAUUAAAAAAAAAAUUAUUCGUUCAUCCUUUUUCCUAAAUAGCAAAAACUAUCAUAUAUUUAUAAUAAUUUAUUUUACUAUAAUAAUUUAAGAAUAACUUUUUUAAAGUAGCGUAGAAAAGUCCGAAAGCUGGAAAAACUUUAUGAUCGUGGAAGUUGUGUCAAGGCCAACACUUUGAAUGCAGCGACUUUGACUGCUGCGUUAUCAAUACGCUAGAAAACUGCAGAUGAACUGUACACACACGCUCCCUUUAGUGGACUGAGAGUGUCGGACCCACUUGAAGGCUAAGAAGUCUAAGUAGAGGAAAUAAAUUAAGGAACUUCUAGCUCCUUUUCGUAUUUGCCCCAACUCACAAACCAUUAGGCUUUUCUCACCUUUUGCUGGCUCCAAUGGCGAAUAUGCCACUGCUAUUGUCUCUUUGCCUUAUCUAUACUAUCUCCUUCUUUCCAUUCCUUGCAUUUGCCAUAUCCUCUUGCAAUGGUCCUUGCCGAACAUUUAACGACUGCGACGGUGAGCUCAUAUGCAUCAAUGGUAAGUGUAACGACGACCCUGAACUUGGGACUCACGUAUGUGAAGGGGUUCCUUCCCCUCCACCUCCCUCCGGCUACUGUCAUUCCUCUGGGUCCCUUCGGUGCAAGGGCCAAUAUUAUCCUACCUACACCUGCUCCCCUCAGAUCACAUCCUCCACAAGUGCCAUUCUUACUAACAAUGAUUUUAGUGAGGGUGGGGAUGGCGGAGGGCCAUCGGAAUGUGAUGGAAAAUACCAUAACAAUUCUGACCCCAUCGUGGCAUUGUCGACUGGGUGGUACAAUGGUGGAUUCCGGUGUGGGAAGAUGAUCAAGAUAACGGCUGACAACGGGAGGAGUGUGCUGGCCAAGGUGGUGGAUGAGUGUGACUCACUGCGGGGCUGUGACGAAGAGCAUUCAGAUCAGCCACCAUGUAAGAACAACAUCGUUAACGGAUCUGAUGCUGUGUGGAGUGCUCUGGGGCUGGAUACGAACUUAGGUGAAGUGGAUGUUACUUGGAGCGAAGUAACUGAUGUUCCAUGUGAUUCAAACAAUUAUAUAGUUCAUAUUAUGUAAUUAUUAAAUUACUUAGUUCUACAAAUUAUAUAUCAUGAAACCUUAUUCUACAAAUUGCAAUGAACUAAAAUAUUUUUCAUAUACCAAUCGAGGAUUUGAGACAUUUUUCAACAAUAAUAUGCAAGAAAUAAAACUUCGCACUAGUAAAACUGCAUGGUGAUCAAACCCCAAUAACUGGCUUGAUUAAAGAGUAACGUGUCCUUCCAGGAUUUUCCGACGACCAUACUAAACCAGAGGGACCCGAAGACUGAGAAUUUUCUGAGUCAUCCAUCCUAGGUUCCCACUAGAGUCAUUAAGAGAUGCUGUGCUGACUGGUCCUCGAGUGGGAUCAACUUUUCUCCACCGCCUUAGGAUUUCCAAAAUCACAGCCAUAACGACUAUACUCUUAAGGAGACUCAAUUUUUUUAGUCAUUGUCCUAUACUAUGAUUAAGAAGGUGUUAAUUGGAGAAUGGAUUUAAUGACUUAAUAUAAAUUAAUAAUUUAAUUUAAAUCAUCAAAUAGAUUAAAUUUAUUUGAUAAAACAAUUUAAUAUUAUAAUUUGAAAUUAAAAAUAAUUUUAAGUAUUAAUUCAAAAUAGUUAAUUUAUUUUGUCUCAUUUAUCGAUAUUUAAUGAGAGCAUAUUUUACAACCGUAAUUCCACGUUUAUGACUCAUUUUUAUAAUAAAUGUUUUAUAAUUAUCCCAUGUAUUUACAAUACUCUAAAUAUAAAUGUUUUACAAACAAGUUUUUAUUUAAGAUUGAUAAAAAAAAUUAUUAAUUAAAAUUAAUGAUAAUAAAUAUUACUUAAAACCAAUGAAGGUAACUAUGUCAAUUUAUUGAUUUAAAAUAAAUUUUAAAUUAACUUUAUCAAACAACUUUAAUUACUUAAAGUAAAAGUCAAAUAAUAAAGUUUAAAUCUAAUUUAAAGUCCACUUAAAUGUAAUAAGUAUUAAAUUUUACUAAUCAUCUUCUAAGUCCUGGCAUGAAACAUGUUUGAUGGCUCAUAAAUUGGGAUGGACAAGUCUUUGGUUUUAGUUAUAUGGGAGUUUAUUAUAACUAAUCUUGUUAUUAACCCAAAUCAAGUCAAUUCAAUUUAUUUUAUUUGAUCCAAAAAUGGGCUACUACAUUUCUUUUUUUUUUUUUUCAGAAAAAUGAUGACUAAAUUAUGCUUUUCACAUUAAAUAAUUGUAGAUUCAAUUCCUUUAGAUUUUGUGGGGUUUAUCAGUUUUGUCAGUUUUUGGGCUUGCCUCUACUCUGAAGUUGGGGAUGACUAAUGAAUGACUCGGUCAACUGGAACUCUGGAUGUUGCUUGGUCGUGGAUUAUGGUCAUAAGUUAGGCUGAGUUUCUGUGGCUGUCCUGAAUAUGGCGUCAUGUACUCAGGUUAUAUGGCUAUCUACCAGCUGUAUUAACACAUCAAUAUGGAGAAAAUAAACAGGGCAGACGCUGUAUUGCAAUGACUAGCUUGACUAGCCACGAGAGUAACUCUGACCUAGCUAAAUCAUCGGCAACAUUGUUGUUAGCCUCCACAGAUUAAUUAGACUAGAAAACUCAAACUCAUGACAUUCAACUGCAUUCGGUAAUGAGAUUGCUAACUACACAUGCUGUGUGGCCCUAUGUUUCAUUUAUGACCUUGUCCCCAGCCUUCCUUAGCUAGAAAUUCUUUCGUGUGUUCCCCUAUGUAACCCAAUUCUUUAUAUAAUGAUAUGCACACAUAACCAUACUGUCUAUAGAGAUUUUUGUGUGUACUGUCUCAGUUUCUCAGAUAUUGAGGGAGUUGUCAUGUAACAUACUGUUAUAAGAUUAGGAACGCUUCUACUCUCUGUCUAUUUGUGGAAGCAAUUAGUCUAAUGAGAUAGCACUCUGGCAUGUAAAUUUCAUUGCAUUUGCUUGAGUGAUCAUUUUCAACCACCAGAAGGCUCACUGACCCUAACGAUACGGCAACCGGAAGAAGAAAUGUCAUGGCAAACUUCAUGACUUGAAGACUCGGUAGACUUUCAUGAAGUCCAGAGAGGCAUUAAAGCGUGAUUAAUUUGAGUAUAUAUUUAAAUGUAUGCAAGAGCUCUCCCUCACCCAAACUCCUAAAACCAUUAGGCCUUUCUCCCUUGGGUACUUCUCCAAUGGCAAAUCAAGUUCUAUUCCUGCAAUCCCUUUACCUUCUCUUCAGUAUCUUCUCCCUUCCAUUUCUUCCACUGGUUAUGUCCUCUUGUAAUGAUCCAUGUCAAACACUUGACGACUGUGAAGGUCAGCUCAUAUGCAUCAACGGUCAGUGCAACGACGAUCCCGAUCUUGGGACUCACAUAUGCGGAGGAAGUCCAGGGACUUCUUCCCCUUCAACUGAUGACUGUCAGCCCUCUGGCAGUCUUGAGUGUAACGGGCAAUCCUAUCCUACCUACACAUGCUCCCCUCAGGUUACAUCCUCCACCAGCGCUGUUCUUACUAAGAACGAUUUUAGUGAGGGAGGGGAUGGUGGAGGCCCAUCCAAGUGUGAUGACAAAUACCAUGAAAAUUCAGACCCUAUCAUUGCCUUGUCAACUGGUUGGUAUAAUGGUGGAUCCCUGUGCGGCAAGAUGAUCAGGAUCACGGCUCAAAAUGGGAUGAGCGUGCUGGCCAAGGUGGUGGAUGAGUGUGACUCCAUGCACGGCUGUGACCAAGAGCAUGCAGGUCAGCGCCCCUGUGAUAACAACAUAGUUGAUGGAUCUAAUGCUGUGUGGGAUGCUUUGGGCCUGGAUAUCAAUAUUGGUCGUGUGGACGUUACUUGGUCCAUGGCUUAGAUAUAUGGUUAUGACUUAUGAUCAGUUGGUUGGUUACUUGGUUUUUGUGUGUGCGUACGUACUUUCCUCUUUGUGUUCCCUCUCUCCUUUGAUUUGUAUGGCUCCGCCAAGCACUAUUUGUAUGUAAUUUUGCAGCAAUAUAUGCAUGCGCUGAAAUAAAACUGGAAGGCACUAGCCCAGUGCCACCAGAACCCCAUUAACUGGGGUUUGAUUAAUAAUGAGUGAUUUGCAUCACGAUCUAGUUGAACCAUCACAUUGAUUAUUAAUGCAUCGCCUAAACUACAUCAACUUCCAAUGAGUAUUUUGUAUUAAUUUAGCAUUGAGAUUCACCUUAUAUAUAGCAAUGCUGAUCUUGGGAAAAUACAUAUUUUAAAUUUAAAAAGUUGUAAAAUCAAAAGAAACUUACAAAGUCAAAAGAAAGAAAAGAAAAGAAAAGAAUAUAGAAGGUGUUGUCUAAUGGGUGGUACUUGAUCACUUUGAUGAGGUCACAGUGAGGAAAUUAACAAGAAGCCAGGAAAGAGAAGCUGUAGAAAAAUUGUCACAUACCAAUAACAAAUAUCAUCCUGGCACCCAAAUAUAAAAGGCCCCAUUGAGUUAUUGACGGGUACAUGUGUCACUUUUUCACCACAAUAUAUAUAUAUAUAUAUAUAUAUAUAUAUAUAUAUAUAUAUAUAUAUAUAUAUAUAUAUAAAAUUAAGAAUUCUUAGUCUUGAUCAGUGGUCAUAUGAAGUUUUUCUAUUAUAAUCUAUCAUAAUACAAAUCUAACUAGUAAAAGCCUAAAUGUCUUAUACCUAAACUAUUUAUUUAUUAAGUAAUUCAUAAUGAAACAAAAUAAUAAAAAUUAGAAUACGAAUCAUUGAGAUAUGGAACCUAAAUUGAUUUUGUUAGAGCAUGCAUUUUGAUUAAUUAAAUUUUAUUCCUUUGUUGAGCUUAAAGUCUAAACCCAAAGUUGGGUUGUGGAACAUUCAAGUUGAUUUUGUUAAACCAUGCCCUAAAACUAAUUAAAUUCUAUACCUUUGUUUUGCUUAAAGGUCUAUGUUCAAAGUUGGGUUGUAGAAACCUCAAUCUUAAUUAGUUGAAUUAAAAAUAAGUAAUUAUUUUAUAAUUUAAAUACAUUUAUUUUUUAAAAAAUCUUUAUUUAUAUUUAUUCUUAUUUAUUUAAAUUAGAUUUUAUUAUCUUUACUCUUUAGUAAAUAAUUAAUCUUUUUAAUCUAAAAAUAAUUAAACACAAGUUAAUCCUAGAAGAUGAUAAUCCAAAAUAAUACAAAGUCAUGAUAACCUUAUAUCCCUACUAUAUUUUUUUAGUCAUAGUCUAUUUGAAUAACUCAAUAAAGCAACGAGUACCUAUUAGUUGUAAGUUCAAAUUCUUGAUUUGAAUUAAUUUUUUUUUUUAUCUUAAAUUUCUUGUGUUUAUCAUAAUAUAACUAGCAAAAAAUGUUUGCAAAUACAUUUACAAAUUCUAUAGAACGAAAAUAAUAUAUCUUAUUUUCCCAUUUAUUUUUCUCUUUAUAGAUUCUAUAUAUAUUUAAAAUCAAAUAUUAUUUUUAAUUUAAAGUUAUAUCGGAUACAUAUUUUUAUAUUAGAUUAAUUCCUUUCAUUAUAUUGAUUAUAAAUAUAUUUAAACUUUUUUUACACUAUUUUAAAAUUAAAAUUACAAUAAAGAAAUGAAAAUAUAUGAAUAAAUGCACUUUUAUUAUUUUUAUUUGAUUAAAAAAUAGACACCAAAUGAAUCAAAUUUUAUCAAUGUUUAUUUUUCAAAACUUAUUUAAAAAAAAUCGAGUAUAAUAAAAUUAUUUUAUUUUUUAAAAAGAAAAGUAAAUUUUAAAAAAUACAUAAACCACACCUAAUUACUAAUGCUACGAUCAAAAGCAAUUACUUGGAAAAGCUGUACACAAUUGAAUAUCGAGAAGGUUACAAAGUCCUAAUUAGAGAAACAAUGAUUUUCAUUAAUUAUGUUUGGUUCCCGGAAAAUAUUAAGGAAAGAAAAAAAAUGCAAAGGAAAAUGACUUUUUCAUGUUUGGUUGUCCUAUGAAAAAUAUCAAAGAAAAUCAAAUAUAAUUAAAACUAAUUAGAAACUUAUGUUUUUUUAAAUUAUUUAAUUUUUAUAUUGAUGAGUUAAAAUAAAUAAAAUAAGUUUGAAGUAACAAAAAAAAUAAUUUAUUAAUUUCAAUUUAUUCUUUUAUUUUCCUUCACUUUUUCUUUUCUUCUACUUUUCAUUUAUAUUUUCUUUCCCUUGCAUUUUCCUUCAAAUUUUUUGAGAACCAAACAUAACCUAAAGGAAAAAACAAUAUUUUUCAAAUUAUUUCUCGGGUGACAGAUACGCAAGCAAAACAUUGAUAUUCCAUAAUAAUAAAAACUAUUUAUUUAUAAUGUUUCUUUUUCACGUUAUUUUUCGGAGUAACUAUAAAUUAAAUAUUUUUACGUGUCCAUGGUGCAUAUUCGUGGGACUCAUUAGUCACAACGAAGGCGUAGUCCUGUGGAUGAGAGGAAAGCAAAAGUAGGAGGUGACCAUCCUCACUUUGUAAUUCAGAAAUAAAUCUAUUAAAUGUCUCACAUCAAAUUAUCACACGCCACGUAAGAAUAGGAUAAGAAAGAACCCAAAAUAUAAUGACACGUGGUUUUCAAAUUUUGCGACGGGUCGAGUGUGGGGGAAUAUCGUCAUAAAAGCGAGGCCACAGCCAGAGAGAAGGCCCACCGGCCUACCGGCACCGAAAUUACGUUGUGGACCGAAAGACUUGAAGUGCAGCCAUCUAGGGGGACGCAUUCAUUGCAAAGGAAACUCUAAAAAAGAAAGAAAAACGUGUGGCUGCUUAAUUUCUUGAUAAGGUGGAGCCGCAUGAGGGCAUGAGUUCAGUAUAUAAGUGGAUGCAAGCUUCAUCCCUUGACCAUUAGGCCUCUUUGGGUUACUGAAUACUAAGAGCAGCUCCAAAUUGCAAUGGCGAAUUCAGCAGUAGUGUGGUUAGCAUCCGUAUGGCUUGUGUCCAAUAUCUUGUCCCUUCCAUUCCUGGCAUUGGGCAUAUCUUCUUGUGGUGGCUCAUGUCAAACACUUGAUGACUGUGACGGUCAGCUCAUAUGCAUCAACGGUAAAUGUAAAGACGACCCCGAAGUCGGGACUCACAUAUGCGGGGGAAGUUCAAGUACCCCUUCCCCUCCGGUCUCCUCCUCCACGCCUGCCAUUCUAACUAACAACAAUUUUGAAAAAUGAGGGGACGGUGGAGGCCCAUCGGAGUGCGACGGCAAAUACCAUGACAAUUCAGAGCGCAUCGUAGCAUUGCCAACUCGGUGGUAUGAUGGGGGAUCCCGGUGUGGGAAGAUGAUUAGGAUAACGGCUCCAAGUGGGAGGAGCGUGUUGGCCAAAGUGGUGGAUGAGUGUGAUUCAGCGGACGGCUGUGCGAAUAACAUAGUUGAUGGAUCUGAUGGUGUGUGGGCUGCUCUGGGGCUGGAUAUCAAUCUUGGUGAAGUGCACGUUACUUGGUCCAUGGCUUAGAUAUCCGUAUGGUUAAUGAGUUGGGUUGGUUUUUUGUGUUCCCCUCUACUUUGGUUAUGAUGUAAUUUUGCAGCAAUAUGCACUGAAAUAAAAUAGCUGGAAGGCGCUAGCCCAGUGCCACCAGAACCCCAUUGACUGGUUUGAUUAAUAAAGAGUGAUUAUCGGCAGAAUGAACUACUUCAAGUCUUCAACCAUCACAUCGAUUAAUUAAUAAAGAAUCCCAUCAACUGUUGUUAUCCUCCUUAUACACAUUGAUUAAUUAGGCUUUAUAAACACCUACGAAACUUAAAGAUUGUUUUCCCUGAUGAUCAGUACUUCACAGUUACUUUGUUCACCACAACAUACAUCGUCUGAACAUUGGGCAGCAGCCGAUUAUUGUCUCUGUACCAUUAAUUAUCGAUCCUAAUCAACUCAUUUUUAUCCAAUCGUACUGGGCAGUACUUACAAGACAAGUCUUUAUUAUUAUUUUUUCAACAUUACAGCUAUCAAGAAAUCAUUUAAGCUUAUUAUUUUAAUUUGUUGAACAAGUUAACUUCAUUGCAUAGUUAUUAAACCACCUAUUAAUAAAUAAUUUUUAUUUUUAAUAAAUUAAUAUAUAAAAUUAAAUAAACCCAAUCCAGUUAUUAAAAUAUCGUUGAGCUAAAAAAAUGAGCUUAUUUCUCAAAUAAGCUGGAGGGGCUCGAACCCUCACAAAAUAUUUAAGGAGUGUCCAAUAUACCACUAAAUUAAUUAUAAUUAUUUUAUAAUUAAAUAAAAAAAUUUCAUUUAGUAGAUUAAAAAAAAUAUAAAAAUUAUCAAGAUAAUUUUCUUUAUAGUGUUUUUAAUAUUAAAAAAUUAUACAUUUAUCAUCAUUUACUUUAUAUCAUUUAAUACAGUUGAAUUAAAUGUAUCAUAAUUUUAAUAUUAAAUAUAUUUAAAAAUUAGACAUAUUACAAUCAAAUAUCACAAUAUUAUUAUCGAAUAAUAUUUUAUGUAAUUUAAUAAUCAAUGUACACUUUUAUUUAUGUAAUUUAAUAAUCAAUGUACACUUUUAUAUAUAUAUAUAUAUAUAUAUAUAUAUCAAUUUCUUCAACAAAACAAUUUUAAAAAGUCUAUUAUACUUCUAAUUUCAGUUUUAAGAGUUUUUUUUUAUAUAUUUUCAUAAAUUUUGAUCAAAUUUAAAUUAAUCGAUAUUUUUUAUCAAAAUAUCUGUCUAUAUAUCCAUAAAAUCAAAAUAUCGAUAUAUUCGUGAUUACUGAUAAUUUUAUCCUUGACCCAAUCAUUAGUAAAAAUAAAUAUUACACCCAAUAAAUUAUUUAUAUAUAAUAUUAUAAUCUAAACUAAAUUAUGUAUAAAUAAAUUUGUUCAAAGAAAGUACAUGUCAAACAAAUUUUCAUUUAAUUCCUAGUAAUUUGUUUUAAACAUAUUAAAGUAGUUGAAAUACAAAUGUUCAAUCAAAGUUUUAUUUAAUUUUUAAUCUAUCAAAUGAGAAUAUCAUCAAACUUCCUAUAAGAAAACAUUGCUUUCCACAUAAAAGAAUCAACUCCAAAUUAAAUUUGCACUAUCACCAAUAUCUGCUUCAAAAAUUACACAAAAACCUAAAGUUUAGUAGUACAAAUUAAGUUUUCAAUAUCAUAUACUAUUUUUGAAGAAUUCUCUUGUCACUAUAAACAAAUACUUGUCUUUAUGAUAAAAUUAAUUUGAGUAAGGAUCUAAGGUAUAACUUACUUGCCCUAAGAAAAUUUUAACUUCAACCAUUUCAAAUAUAAGAUCGCGUUAUACCUCAAAUAAUAGAGUAUAAUAGUAUUAAGAAUUCAAUAAACUACUACUACUUCUUCUUCUUCUUCUUCUUUAUUUUAAGCAAAAUAAUAUAUAUUUCAUCAUAAACCAUACUAUUUUAACUUCAACCAUUUCAAAUAUAAGAUAGAGUUAUACCUUAAAUAAUAGAGUAUAAUAGUAUUAAGAAUUCAAUAAACUACUACUUCUUCUUCUUUAUUUUAAGCAAAAUAAUAUAUAUUUCAUCAUAAACCAUACUAUUUUAACUUCAACCAUUUCAAAUAUAAGAUAGAGUUAUACCUUAAAUAAUAGAGUAUAAUAGUAUUAAGAAUUCAAUAAACUACUACUUCUUCUUCUUUAUUUUAAGCAAAAUAAUAUAUAUUUCAUCAUAAGCCAUACUAUUUUAACUUCAACCAUUUCAAAUAUAAGAUAGAGUUAUACCUCAAAUAAUAAAGUAUAAUAGUAUUAAGAAUUCAAUAGACUACUUCUUCUUCUUCUUCUUCUUCUUCUUCUUCUUCUUCUUCUUCUUCUUUAUUUAAGCAAAAUCAUAUAUUAUUCAUCAUAAACCAUACUAUUUAUCAUUAUCCUAAUAAUACUAAACUCAAGGUUACGUAUAAUAAAAUGAAAUAUCUAAAAGUAUUUUUUUGAAUUCUAUAUAUGUUAAAAACUAGUAUUAAAUUAAGAAAAAUAAAAUAAAGAAAAAGAGUAUUAAUGCAUGUUUACAGCUAAAUAAUGCAAAGAUUGAGUGUCAUUUUGAUAAAAAGGCCACGAAGUACGUGAUACAUAGGAUUUGGUUAUCUCAAUGUAUUAAAACCAAUGCUAAAACCUGCUUGAAGAAAAAAAACUAGAAUACUCAUACCCUAAUUAAGUACCACAAUAAAUUAAUAUCAUAAAACAUUAUAAUAAAUUUACCUUUGAUUAGAAUUUGUAUUCAUCUCAAGUAACCAAACAAAUUACCUCUAAAUUAUUUUAAAAUUUUGCAUAGUUUAGUUCACAUCAUUGAAAAUAAAAAGGUUUUUCAAAUGUCAUGAUCACUAUAUAUUUUCUAUCAAUGCAUAAUUUCAAUAAUUAUGUAAUCUUGCUUUUACAUUGAUACAUGGAAGCCACUCGCUUCUUAUUUCACAACUCGUCAUUUGAACACUUAACCAAUAAAUGUUUUUUUUUUUUCCGUUUUUUCUUAAUUUUAAAUUUUUUAUUUAUCUUUUCAUUUAAAUAUAGAAAGAUCUUUAUUACAAAUGUAUUUAAAAUAAAAAAUAUUUAGAGCUAUUAAAAAUCUAUUUAAAUUGAAUUUAUUUAUAUCUAAAAGAUUUUUAUUCUUUUUAAGUUUUUAAAAUGUACUAUAAACUAGUGUAUCUGUUAGCCAACGAUUCUCCAGAUCGUGUUUUGAUGAUAAAAAAGCAUAGUUAAGUUGUUAAUUUUUUUUGAAUUAUAAAGAAUUUCAAGUGUUAGUUUGAAAAUCCAUUAAAGAACCCAAUGGAUGUAAGAUAAAGACAAUUGGAAAAUUUUACUCAUAGAAAACAUAUAUAAGAUGAAUGCAUGGAUGCAUUUAGGUUUUUCAUAUCUUUUCAUGCAUCUUUAAAAACUCAGUUUAUGCUUUAAAGUUACAUUUACAUCAAAACUUAAGUUUUAUUAAAUGAACUUUAGGCAAAUCAUUUCAAAAUUGGCAUAAUAAUUUACCUAAAAACCUUACCUAAGUGUUAGAAGAAAAAAAAACAUAAAAAAAAAAAGUUUUUGGGCCAAAAAUUGUAAACCAGUCGAGGCACUGGCCAACUAGCUCAAUUGACUAGGGUGCCGAUCAACCGAUUACACCUUCUCGAUCGAGGUCCGAUUGAGAGAUGCAAAAAAUCUUCUCUCUCUUCCAAUAGCCUUGCAUUCUUGAUCGAGGAAUAUGUCUUCCCGAUCGAGGCCUAACGGUCACCUAACAAGCAUUUAUUGCCCAAUAGUUAGUUAACCAGUCGACCUCCAGCUCGACCAAUCAAGGUUAUUUUUUUUUUUGGUCUUUUUGGCUCUCAAGGCUAUAAACUUAUAAAUUGAGAACUCGACUUCAUUUAUGAGUAAGAGAACACCUACAUUUAUUUGUCUACCUACUUGUUCUUGCCUCAAAAACUUUAAUUCUUUCAUUAGUUCAUUAAAUUUUCAUUUGCAUAUUCCUUAAUGCACCCUUAUGAUUCAUCCUAGCAUUUGAGUUGUAUUUAAGCCCUUGUUGAGCUAGGUUGAAAGAUUUGAUUUUGUUAUUCGAUUGUUAGAACCUUUAAGUGAGUAAAGACUUGAAAAUAUUGUAUAAGAGCUCAUUUGAGCUAAAAUCCAAGUGUAAAUGUGUCAGAAGCUUGGUUGAAACUUCAAAUAUAGUAGAACCCUCACUCGGUUAGGAGCUUGAGAAGAGUGGACGUAGGCAAGGGGUGUCGAAUCACUAUAAAAUCUGAAUUUGCUUCUUCGAACCUUAUCUCUUAUGUAUGUGCUUCCUUUACUUGAAUUUGUUGUGGUUGAAAACAAAAAUUAAAACCCAAUUCACCCACCCCUCUCUCUAUCUCUCUCUCUCUCUCUUUACCUCUUGGGUGUUUUCUCUAUUAAGAUUAGUCUUUAUUUUCUCAGUAUCUAAGAACAUAAAUAUGUGUUUUCACUCUUAAUAGCCCAAAAUAGAUUCUUUUUAAUCCAAUUAAUUCAUUUGAGAAUAUAUGGAAGAAUAAAAACCAAUCAAGACACAAGACAAAAGAUUAUUUACAUGGAUUUCCAUACAACAUGUGGAAAUAAAAAAACUAAAAAAAAUACCAUAGAGUCAAAGACCUCAAAUUUAUAAUCCACUUAUGAGAGUACAACAAAGUUUUACCUAACAGACAUUAUCCCUAAGACUUACUCUUCAAUACUCAUACUGCAUUUUACAUCCGCGAUACAACACCUUGUGUGCUCCCAAUGGAUCUCACCUUAGUAUUUGAAGGGAUGUAGAUCUCUUUCACAAUCUAACAAAAGCAAACAUGAACACUUCUUUGAGAGUUUUGGAAAGAAUAAGACAAAUUAGAUUUUCUAAUUCAGAAGCACUAAGCCAAAAACCUUUUUAAGCAAGGCAUAUGUAGGCCUAGAGACCUAGUGGAUCGAUACUUAGAAAAUCCUUGAUUUAAAUCCAUUAAAAAAUGGAAAGAGUGAACUCCAAAAUUUUGGAGGAUUCUAUCUCAUGUGCUUAUGCGCCCUUAUAGCCCUUGAGUGCUCUUCAAGCAUUGAAUUUAGUGCUCUUUCUCUUUUCUUUUUGGGAGAAUUAUGUUUUAGAGGUAGAUAAGCCCCCAAAUUAACAAAAUGUUCAUAUAACUCUUCAAAUUGAGUUGAAGGAUAUGAAAUAGUAACGGACAAAUAUACCCUUUAAGAACACAUAAAAUAUUUUAUAAAAUUAAGUUAAAUAAAAAAAUUUUAAUAAUUUUUUUUUCAAAAAUACUAAAUUAAAUAAAAGUGGUUUUCAAAAAUAUUAAAUUAAAUUUUUUUUUCAAAAAUAUUAAAUUAAAUAAUUUUUUUAAAUAUUAAAUUAAAUAAAAGUAUUUUUAAAAAAUAUUAAAUUACAUAAAAGUAUUUUUAAAAAAUAUUAAAUUAAAUCAAAAAUAUUUUUAAAAAAUAUUAAAUUAAAUAAAAGUAUUUUAAAAAAUAUUAAAUUACAUAAAAGUAUUUUUUAAAAAUAUUAAAUUAAAUCAAAAAUAUUUUUUAAAAAUAUUAAAUUAAAUAAAAGUAUUUUUCAAAAAUAUUAAUUUUUUUCUCAAAAUCAACAAAGGACAUUUUUGGAAAUACUGAAGGAUAAUAUCCUUCAACUCAAUUUUCAUACUUUCAUUGAGUCUUGGGAUCAAUUUGAAGAGUUACACGGACCUUUUGUUAAUUUGGGGGCCCAUCUACCCCUAAAACAUAAUUCUCCCUUUCUUUUUUUCUUCUCUCUCUCUAUAUAUAUAUAUAUAUAAUAAAAGGUUAAUUAAUUUUAUUAUAUUUUACAAAUAGAUUUAUACUUUUUCUUGCAUUAUUUUAAAAUAAAAUUAGAGUAAAGAAAAUGAAAAAUAUAUGAACAAAUUUAAUUUUAGUAUUUUUAUUUUUAAAAACGAAUUUUCAUUUUGCUCAACCCAAAGCUGUUUGGAAGUGAUCAUUUUCAAAAGUAUGGGAAACCAAAGGCAGCUAGAGAUUUAGUUAUAGUGUGUAGCAUGUGCAAAGACUUUGAACUCAAACCACCAAGGUGUACAACCUCUCUCUCCCUUAAUUGCAUUCGUUCACGAUCCCUUUAGAUACUUCUUCCCUUUUGGGUCAUGUAAAGUAGUGGCAAGACAAAUCCGAAUUGAUUCCUUACUAUAUAUAUAUACUUCUUCCCUAAUAUCUCGUGAUCACGAUCCCCUUUAGAUACUUCUUCCCUUUGUGGCAAGAAAAAUCCGAAUUGAUUUCUUACCAUAUAUAUAUACAUAUGAUAUGAUGUUCCAUAAUACGGUCAAAUAUAUUUACUUUUAAAGUUUCUUUCUCCACAUUAUUUUUCUUAUAUAGUAGAUUUAAAAUAUUCUUUAUCUACCCAUUUGCCGAUGCAUGUUUGUAAUUGUGGGAGUCAUUAGCAUUAAUUAUUGAAGGCAUGUGUCUAACCUAAAAAGAAGUUAGCAUUAUCGAAGGCCUAGUCUUAUGGAUGUGACUAAAGGAAGGAGAGGCCAUCAUACUCAUCCUAGUGCCAAUUAACUCAAAAUGACUGAGGAUAAUUCUUUGAUGGGGUAAUUUUUGAACAAGAUGAUAUUAUAUGAUAAGAAAAAGGUCUAUGUGAUAUUUGAAUAUAAUUUGAUAUUUACUUUGCUUAAAAAAAAAACUUUAAAAUAUUAAAAUGAGAGUCCAUAAAAAUUGAAGAAUGAUUUUUAUAAUUUAAAAAUAAAUAUAGUAAAUGCGUCACAUCAAAUUAUGGCACGCCACCUAAGAAUAGGAUAAGGAACCUAAAGUACAAAGAUCCGUCAUUUUCAAAUUGUGUGGCGGGUUGAGUGUGGGGAAUAUCAUCCUAAGAGUGAGACUUUUCUCAAUAGUACAGUAAUUUUAAAAAGUUAUGCUUAAAUUAUUAUAGUAGAAGAAGUUAUUAUAAAUAUAUGGUAGUUUUUGCCACCUAAGAGAGAGGAGAGAGAGUGAACCGAUAAAUUUUUUUUAAAACCAAAAUUGUCUUUUCAAAAGACGAUUUUAAAAAAAUUUCAAAAGGUAAAUCGUCUCUUCAAGAGAUGAGUUCCAUGGAAAAAAAUAUAUAUUUUUUUAAAAAAAAAUUCCUUAAGGGAACUCGUCUCUUCAAUAAACGAGUUCCACAAAAAAUAUAUAUAUAAAUUCCCAAAAAAAAAAAACACAAUUCCUCAAUGGAGCUCGUCUCUUCAAGAGAUGAGUUCCAUGAAUAUAUAUUUUUAAAAAAAUUCUCAAAUUAUAAAAAAAAAAAAAAAAAAAAGGAAAAUUCCUCAAGGGAACUCGUCUCUUCAAGAGACGAGUUCCCAUGAAAUUUUUUUUUUUUAAAAAAAAAUAUAUUCCCAAAUUAAAAAAAAAAAAAAUAUUCCUCAAGGGAACUCGCCUUUUUUUUUUUUUUUUUUUUUUUUUAUAAUUUGGGAAUUUUUUUAAAAUAUAUAUAUAUAUAUAUAUUCAUGGAACUCGUCUCUUGAAGAGACGAGUUCCCUUGAGGAAUUUUCUUUUUUAUUUUUUUUUUAUUUCGGGAAUUUUUUUCGUUCCCUUGAGGAAUUGUUUUUUUUUUUUUUAAUAAUUUGGGAAUUUUUUAAUAUAUAUAUAUAUAUAUAUUUUCAUGGAACUCGUCUCUUGAAGAGACAAGUUCCCUUGAGGAAUUUUCUUUUUUUUCUUUUUAUUUUUUUAAUUUGGGAAUUUUUUUUCCAUGGGAACUCGUCUCUUGAAGAGACAAGUUCUCUUGAGGAAUUGUUUUUUUUUUAUAUAUAUAAUUUGGGAAUUUUUUUAUAUAUAUAUUUUCAUAGAACUCGUCUCUUGAAGAGAGGAUUUCCCUUUUGAAAUUUUUUUUAAAUCAUCUUUUGAAAUUUUUUUUAAAUCAUCUUUUGAAAAAACUAUUUGAAAUUUGAAAUGAUGAUUUUGGUUUUAAAAAAAAAUUAUCUACUCACCCUCUCUCCUCUCUCCUAAGUGGUAAAAACUACCGUAUAUUUGUAAUAACUUCUUCUACUAUAAUAAUUUAAGCAUAACUUUUUUAAAUUACCGUAUGAGAAAAGUCUCCUAAGAGUGAAGCCGCGAGCUGAGAGAAGUCCCACUGGCACUAAAAUUAGAGAAGGCUUCAGUUACGUCAUGAACCGAAAGAUUGAAGUGAAGCCAUCUAGAGGAGCCUUGCAAAAAAAAAUAUAUAUGGUGGAGCCGCAUUAGGGCAUGGGGUGAGUACAUAAGUGGAUGCAAGCUUCAUCCGUUGUCCAUUAAGCCUCUUUGGGUUACUGAAUACUGAGAGUAGCUCCAAAUUGCAAUGGCAAAUUCACCUGUAGUGUGGUUAGCAUCGGUGUGCCUUGUGUUCAAUAUCUUGUCCCUUCCAUUCCUAGCAUUGGGCUUAUCUUCUUGUGGUGGCUCAUGUCAAACACUUAAUGACUGUGAAGGUCAGCUCAUUUGCAUCAAUGGUAAAUGUAACGACGAUCCCGAGGUCGGGACUCACAUAUGUGGAGGAAACUCGAGUACCCCUUCCCCUCCAUCCCCCAGUACCUGCCAGCCCUCGGGAACUCUUGCGUGCAAGGGCGGAAAACCCAAAAAUACCUACACAUGCUCUCCUCCGGUCACCUCCUCCACGCCUGCCGUUCUAACUAACAAUAAUUUUGAAAAAGGAGGAGACGGUGGAGGCCCAUCCGCUUGCGACAACAAAUACCAUGACAAUUCAGAGCGCAUCGUAGCAUUGUCAACUGGGUGGUAUAAUGGGGGAUCCCGGUGUGGAAAGAUGAUCAGGAUAACGGCUCAAAAUGGGAGGAGCGUGUUGGCCAAAGUGGUGGAUGAGUGUGACUCCAUGCACGGCUGUGACAAAGAGCAUGCAGGUCAGCCCCCCUGUGAUAAUAACAUAGUUGAUGGAUCUAAUGCUGUGUGGAAUGCUUUGGGGCUGGAUAUCAAUAUUGGUGAAGUGGACGUUACUUGGUCCAUGGCUUAGGUAUAUGGUUGGUUGGUUACUCGGUUUUUGUGUGUACGUACGUACCCUCCUCUUUGUGUUCCCCUCUCUAUUUUGGUUUGUAUGGCUCCGCCAAGCACUAUUUUUAUGUAAUUUUGCAGCAAUAUAUGCAUGCACUGAAAUAAAACUGGAAGGCACUAGCCCAGUGCCACCAGAACCCCAUUAAGUGGUUUGAUUAAUGAAGAGUGAUUUGCGUCACGAUCUACUUGAACCAUCACAUUGAUUAUUAAUGCAACGCCUAAACUACAUCAACUUCCAAUGAGUAUUUUAUAUUAAUUUGACAUUGAGAUUCACCUUAUAUAUAGCAAUACUGAUCUUGGGAAAAUACAUAUUUUAAAAUUAAAAAGUUGUAAAAUCGAAAGAAACUUAAAAAGUAAAAAGAAAGAAAAGAAAAGAACAUAGAAGGUCUUAUCUAAUGGGUGGUACUAGAUCACUUUGAUGAGGUCGCAGUGAAGAAAUUAACAAGAUCCCCAGGAAAGAGAUGCUGUGCAAUAAGAAAUAUCAUCCUGGAACCCAAAUAUAAAAAGCCCCAUGGAGUUAUUGACGGGUACAUCAGUCAUAUAUAUACAUAUAUAAUACUUUGUCUUGAUCUAUACUUUUCAACAGUUUUUCUAUUAUUGUCUAUCCUAAUACAAGAUAAUUUAACUGAUAAAAGCCUAAGUGCCUUAUACCUAAACCAGAUUUCAUAUCUAUUUAUCUAUUAAAUAAUUUAAAAUAAAAUAAAAUAAUUAAAGUUAGAACACAAAUUAACUCUGAGAUAUGGAACUUAAAUGUUGAUUUUGUCACUUACUAGUCCAUAUUCAAAGUUGGGUUGUAGAAACCCAAUCUUGAUUAGUUGAAUUAAAAAUCAAUAAUUAGGGAAGAUAAAAAAAAACCAAUCAACACACAAAAUAAAAUAUUUUUAACAUGGAAAACUUUCAUGCAAUAUGAAGAAAUAAAAAGUCAGAAGUCAUAAACUUCAAAUCUACAUCUAUUAUAUGAGAAUACAAUACACACUUUUAUCUAGCAGAUUGCAUUUGAAUCUCAUCUUAGCGCUUAAAAUGAUGCAAAUCUCCUUCACAAUCCAACAAAGACAAACAUGAACACUUCCUUGAAAGCUUUAAGAAUAAGAAGACAAAUUACAUUUUCCAGCUAGAAAAACUAAGCCAAAAACCUUUUUGAGUAAGGUAUAUGUACGCCCACAGACUUAGUGGACCAAUUCUCAAAAAAUCCUCAUGCAAUUUAAAUCCUUUAAAAUUGGAAAGAGAAAACUUUAGAAUUCUAGAGGAUUCUAUGUCGAGUGCUCAAGCACCCUCAUAUAGGGAUGACAACGGGGUGGGUUCGGGACAGGUCGCCCCCAUCCCAACCCCACCCCGUUUAUUCGAAAUAAUUCUCAUUCCCAUCCCAUUUAAAAAAUUAAACGGGAUGGGACGGGCCGAGGCGAGUAUGAUAAAUUUUCAUACUUGUCCUGUUUAACUUUUUUUUUUUUUUAAUUUUUUUUAAAAAAAUUACUUUUAAAUUUUUAAUUAUAUUAAAAUAAAUAUAUUUUAUAAAUAAUUAAAUUAUUAUAUUUUUUAUAACUUAUUUUAUUAAAAAUAUUUUAUUAUUAUCUAUAUAUUAAAAAUAAUAAAAUAAAAAUUAAAUUAAAUUAAUUUUAAAUUAUAAAUUAAAUUAAAUUUAAAAAUUAAUUUUAUAUAUAAUCGGAGCAGGGCUGGGUGGAGUGGGGCAAUACCCGAACCAGUCCCGAGUUUUUAAAAAAAUUCUCAAACUCAUCACAAACCUAUUUAUUAAAAUUAAACUCCGUCCCAUUAGAGACGGGACGAGGCGGGUACCCGAAUAAACCCGCCCCAUUGCCAUCCCUACCCUCAGAGCAUUUGAGUGCUUCUCAAGCAUUGAAUCCAGGCUUCAAGGUUCAUGUAGUUUUUAAACCCUAAAAAAAAAUUCAUUUUGAUCAAUUUUAAAAACUCGAUGGAUGUCAUGCUACACCAACUACUAAUUUGUCUUUCUAAGACAUUUCUAUACUUACCAAACUCAAUCGAUGCCAUGUUAUACCAAAAUAUGUAUAUAUAAACCAUUUUAACAAGAUUUUAUUGAUUUUAGUUUUUAAAAAUAGUUUUUUAUUAACCAUAUUUUAGUAAAGGGAAAAAGAGAAAUUCUUAUUAGUAAAUGUUUUCUAAAACAAAUGGAACCCAAAACUCUAAAUGUGCUUUAGAAAUUUUUUGGAAAACCAAAACCUGUUUUCUAAAAGGUUGAAAGAAAGAUAAUAAACAAAAUCUUGUGAGAUCCUUCUAUAUGAAUAUCAUAAAUAUAAAUGAAAAUGAAAAUGAAUAAAAUUACACAAUAUAGCAUGACUUAUCUGUAUAUAUUUGAAAUAUAAUAUUCUUUUAUAAGUGUUAUUACAAUUUAAAGUUAUAUCAAGUAUAUAUAUUUUUUCAUAUUAGGUUAAUUCAUUUUAUUAUAUUUUAUAAAUAGAUUUAAACUUUUUCUUGCAUUAUUUUAAAAUAAAAUUAGAGUAAAGGAAAUGUAAAAUAUAUGAACAAAUUUAAUUUUAGUGUUUUUAUUUGAUUAAGAAAUAAACAAGAAAUAAAAUUUUAUACUUUUUAUUUUUAAAAACGAAUUUUCAUUUUGCUCAACCGAAAGCCUUUUCAAAGUGAUCAUUGUCAAGAGUAUGGGCAACCAAAGGCAGCUAGAGGUUUAGUUGUAGUGUGUAGCAUGUGCAAAGACUUUGAAUUCAAGCCAUAAACGUGCACUACCUCUCUCUCCCUUAGUUGCAUUUGUCAUGUUCUCUUGUGAUGAUCUCCUUUAGAUGCUUAGACCCUUUGGGUCACGUGAACUAGUGGCAAGAAAAAUGAAUUGAUUUCAUGAUGGAGAGUGUAGGGACCCCUCCCCUUGGGAAACACGUGGCACGCGGCUCAUGGUGACGCGUGGCACGUGCUGUCAGCCGGACCAUCAUCAUCCGGAUUCCCCUACAGAUACGUAUGGUGCGACUAUCCUAUCCGGAACCCCCCAAGGAAAGACAAACAACGUUUCAGCUUCUCCUAUCCAAGGAAGAGCAAACGACGCUGGCAGAACGUAGACACCCGGAUAGUCUCCACAAACACAUCCGGAUAUUCAGCAUGAUCCAUCCGGAUAUAAAUCGUCUGGAUGGUCAAUUAAAGUAAAGCGAGUCUUACACGCAAUCACAACAAGCAGCCAUGGCCCACAUCCCAUCACCUGCAGAAUGAGAAGACAAGAGGAAGUGACAGCAAGUCACUUCCCACGAUCAUUCUGCAUAAUCGCUUCCCACGAUCUCUGACAGCCGCAUCACCUACCAUGGUCUCUGACAGCCAUUCGUAGGAUGAUAGUGCUCCUACUAACACCUAUUGUCAUCAUCACAACAGAAAAUAUCUCCCCACCAUUAAUGAGAGGAACAGUACCCCUGAAGCUGUAUAUAUAUGACUUCACACGAAGAAGAAAGGGAUGAUCUCCCGGUAACCUCUUGACACCUAGUAAAAGGCCAACUGCCUCAUAUAUCUUAUUCUCUUAUCAUGGCUAACAACAUCAUCGGAGGGUGCAUCCGGACACCUUGUCCGGAUGCCUUUUUACAGGUACAACCACUGAAUCAAGAACCCCUUGUGUGUUGAGAAUCGCGUGUCCAUCCAUCUAGCAGCAACGCGGCCCACCUGAUACGCGAGGUGACAACAUUGGCGCCGUCUGUGGGAACCUUUUACUUUUUAUUUUGAUUCAGUCACUAGCAAAGAUGGCCACACCUUCCCAAAGUCGAUCAUCUGGUAGAGAGGAAGAAGAUAAUCACGAAUGGCGUCAAGCCAUCGAAAAAAGACAGUUGGCGAGCGAAAAACAGCUAAGAGCUCUCCUCCAGGAGACGGAGAGGUUAAGGGAAGAAAACGCUGUGUUACGCAUUCAAGCCUCAACAUCAAGACCUCCUCGUCGUCAGCGCUCAAAAGGUCAAGUGGCGAACUCAAGGCCAGAGCCAGAAUCAAUAUAUCCUGGGUCAACAGGAGCUGUCCCAGGAACAUACAACGCAAGGCCCCAUGAGCCACGCACACCCAUGCCUCGAGCUCCCCGUGAGGAAAGCUCAGAUUCCACUCAUUUCUCAGCAAAAAGACAACGUGAUAGAAAAUCACAGUUGUCAAGUUCUAUGCGCGCAAGACUAGACCCACAGGAGCCUGGGAGAUCAAGGCCACCAGUAGCCACAACUCGGGCGCCACGCCCCGAUCCUAUGAUUGCUCCCAUGGUGCAGAACGUACCUCCGCAUCGUGACCCCAUGGUCACCCCAGCGAUGCGGAACGUUCACUCACACCUAGCGGAACGAUCACUCACACCUAGCGGAACGACCAGCUGGGAGAAACCUCCCAAACGAGCCACCCAUUGGCUCCAUCAGCAAAAGGCUGGAUGACAUGCUCUCCACGCCCUUUUGCUCUCAUAUCACCCAUUACGAGCCCCCAAGAGGAUUUCUCGUACCAAAGUUUUCCACAUACGAUGGGACCAACGAUCCCUUCGAUCACAUCAUGCACUAUCGACAGCUUAUGACGCUCGAUAUUGGCAACGAUGCAUUAUUAUGCAAAGUAUUCCUUGCCAGCCUUCAAGGGCAGGCCCUUUCAUGGUUUCAUCGCCUACCUCCUAACUCUGUUGACAAUUUUAGGGACCUCUCUGAAGCAUUCGUGGGACAGUACUUAUGCUCUGCUCGACACAAGCAGAAUAUCAGCACCCUCCAGAACAUAAAAAUGAAAGACAACGAAUCCUUGAGGGAAUUUGUGAAACGAUUUGGCCAAGCCGUACUCCAAAUAGAGGUUUGCAGCAUGGACGCUGUCCUACAGAUCUUCAAAAGAAGCAUCUGUCCAGGCACCCCAUUUUUCGAAUCGCUGGCAAAAAAACCUCCUACAACGAUGGACGAUUUGUUCAGACGCGCUAACAAAUAUUCAAUGCUCGAAGAUGACGUACGUGCAGCCACUCAGCAAGUUUUGGUUGCCGGACGGGCUUCUAGAGAUAACGUGGACAGACAUGCCAAACCUCCGGACCGGCCAAAACCAAUUGACCGGAGGCAGGACGGGCCGAGUCGUCCGGAUAGGCCGUCCAUCACACCCCUAUCCAUAUCAUACGAAAAACUUCUCCCAAUGAUCCAAGGGUUGUCCGACUUCAGGUGGCCUAGACCCCUCGAAACGGACCCAUCUAUAAGAGACCGCAGCAAGAAAUGCGCCUUCCACAAAGACCAUGGUCAUACAACAAAGACAUGUCGGUCCCUCCAGUAUCUAGUUGAGAGGCUCAUCAAAGCAAGACAUUUAAAACAGUACCUCCCCUCAGAUACUGGAGGAAGGGACGCAUCACAGCAUCAUAACUCUGGGGCCCCGAGGGCCCCAGUCGCCCCCAAGGCUGUCAUAAACUAUAUCAACGGGGGCCCAUCUGACGAGGAAUACGAUUCCAGGCGGAAAAGACAGAAAUUGCUGCGAGCCGCGUCAAUACGCGAACGCAUUAAUUCCAUCCGGCCGGGUCUUACUGGGGAGGGCCCUCGCCCCAUUGAUGGGACAAUCAUUUUCCCACCAGUAGAUCCCACCCGAACGCUACAGCCACAUCGCGACGCCCUCAUCCUCUCUCUAGAAAUAGGAGAUUUUGAUGUAAGACGUAUCUUGGUUGAUCCAGGCAGUUCAGCCGAUCUAGUACAAGCAUCAGUCAUUGGCCAUAUGGGACAUAGUCCCGCGGGUCUCGAAAACCCCGGACGAAUCUUAUCCGGAUUCAACGGAUCAUCAACAACAUCCUUAGGAGACAUUAUACUGCCGAUUCGAGCUGGACCAGUCACUCUCAACGUGCAAUUCUCGGUGGUACAAGAGUUGUCACCCUUCAAUGUCAUCUUGGGACGCACAUGGCUUCACUACAUGAAAGCCAUCCCUUCCACAUAUCAUCAAAUGGUGAGUUUCCUCACCAACGAAGGGCAAACUGACUUGUAUGGCAGCCAGUUAGCCGCUCGCCAGUGCUACCAAAUAGCACGUGAAGCAGUCGCUAACCAGGAGGAUGCAUCUCCCCCUGAACCUAGCAUUGCGCACGACCAAUAGCAAUUAUUGGGUCCGGUGGACAAGGAUCCCCCGGUAGCAGAUCCCUUACAAACAAUCCAAAUCUCAGAAGAGAAUGAUCACCUCACAAACGUCAGUUCCCUCAUGACACAAGAAGAAACCCAGAGCAUACAAAAUAUCCUUCGAAGCAACCAUGACAUCUUCGCAUGGACACAUUCGGAUAUGAAGGGAAUUCAUCCCUCUAUCGCCUCUCACAAGCUUAACGUCCUUCCAGCAGCCAGACCCAUUCGACAGAAGAUUAGACGCUUUCACCCGGAUAGACAAAGAGUUAUCCAAGAUGAAAUUAACAAAUUGUUGGAAGCAGGAUUCAUCAGAGAGGUAUCUUAUCCGGAUUGGUUGGCAAAUGUAGUAGUGGUACCAAAGAAAGAGGGCAAAUGGCGAGUCUGUGUUGAUUACACCAAUCUCAAUAAUGCAUGCCCAAAAGACAGUUUUCCCUUACCACGGAUAGAUCAAAUUGUGGAUUCCACUUCCGGGCAAGGGAUGCUCUCUUUCUUGGAUGCCUUCUCCGGAUAUCACCAAAUUCCCAUGUCUCCGGAUGACGAAGAAAAAACAGCAUUCAUAACGCCACACGGCCUCUAUUGCUACAAAGUCAUGCCAUUCGGACUCAAAAACGCUGGCGCCACGUAUCAAAGAUUGAUGACUAAAAUCUUCAAACCUCUGAUAGGCCGCUCGGUCGAGGUAUACAUUGACGAUAUCGUGGUUAAAAGCAAAACUCGAGAGCAGCAUAUCCUCCAUCUACAAGAAGUAUUUUACCUCUUGCGAAAGUACGACAUGAAGCUAAAUCCUUCCAAAUGUGCCUUUGGCGUGAGUGCUGGCAAGUUUCUGGGAUUUAUGGUCAGCCAAAGAGGCAUAGAAGUCAGCCCGGAUCAAGUCAAAGCAGUCAUGGAGACACCUCCCCCCAGGAACAAAAAGGAGUUACAACGCCUCACAGGCAAGCUCGUUGCGUUAGGACGUUUUAUAGCCCGCUUCACUGAUGAGUUGCGACCCUUCUUCUUAGCGAUACGAAAAGCUGGAACCCAGGGAUGGACGGACAAUUGCCAAAACGCGUUGGAAAGAAUUAAACAUUGUCUUAUGCAUCCACCCAUCUUGAGCAGCCCCAUCCCAAAGGAAAAGCUAUAUAUGUAUUUAGCUGUCUCAGAAUGGGCAAUCAGCACCGCUCUAUUCCGCUGCCCUUCACCAAAGGAGCAGAAACCUGUCUACUAUGUCAGCAGGGCAUUGGCAGAUGUAGAAACCAGGUAUUCAAAAAUGGAGCUAACAGCCUUAGCUCUUCGAAGUGCUGCCCAAAAGCUCCGCCCCUAUUUUCAAGCCCACCCAGUGAUUGUACUGACCGAUCAACCCCUUCGCAGCAUUCUACACAAACCAGAUUUAACUGGGCGAAUGCUACAAUGGGCCAUCGAAUUGAGCGAAUUUGGAAUCGAAUUCCAACCCAGAUUAUCCAAAAAAGGCCAAGUAAUGGCCGACUUUGUGCUCGAAUAUUCACGAAGACCCAACCAGCACCACGAAUCAAGUGAACAGGAGUGGUGGACACUACGAGUUGACGGAGCCUCGCGCUCAUCAGGCUCUGGAGUUGGGCUCGUAUUACAGUCCCCAACUAGGGAACAUCUGGAGCAAACCAUCCGGUUGGGAUUCUCCGCGUCUAACAAUGAGGCAGAAUACGAGGCCAUCCUGUCCGGAUUGGACCUCGCCCUUGCUCUAUCUGUCUCCAAACUCCGGAUCUACAGCGACUCGCAACUAGUGGUAAGGCACAUCCAGAAAGAAUAUGAGGCUAAGGACUCACGCAUGGCGCGAUACUUGGCCAAAGUAAGAAGCACCUUACAGCAAUUCACCGAGUGGACAAUCGAAAAAAUUAAGCGAGCUGACAAUAGGCACGCUGACGCUUUGGCCGGCAUAGCUGCCUCUCUACCUAUCAAAGAAGCCAUUCUAUUGCCCAUAUAUGUGCAAGCCAAUCCCUCUGUCGCAGAAAAUUCCACUUGCAACACCAUUGAGGCAACCCAAACGGAUAAUCAAGAAUGGACGCAGGAUAUUGCAGAAUAUAUCCGGACAGGCACUUUACCCAAAGAUCUUAAACAAGCACACAAAAUCCGGGUGCAGGCUGCCCGCUUCACCCUGAUCGGGGGANNNNNNNNNNNNNNNNNNNNNNNNNNNNNNNNNNNNNNNNNNNNNNNNNNNNNNNNNNNNNNNNNNNNNNNNNNNNNNNNNNNNNNNNNNNNNNNNNNNNNNNNNNNNNNNNNNNNNNNNNNNNNNNNNNNNNNNNNNNNNNNNNNNNNNNNNNNNNNNNNNNNNNNNNNNNNNNNNNNNNNNNNNNNNNNNNNNNNNNNNNNNNNNNNNNNNNNNNNNNNNNNNNNNNNNNNNNNNNNNNNNNNNNNNNNNNNNNNNNNNNNNNNNNNNNNNNNNNNNNNNNNNNNNNNNNNNNNNNNNNNNNNNNNNNNNNNNNNNNNNNNNNNNNNNNNNNNNNNNNNNNNNNNNNNNNNNNNNNNNNNNNNNNNNNNNNNNNNNNNNNNNNNNGAGUCCGGACUGUAGAUCGCGCGUCAAACGCGGCUUCUUGAGGGGAGGCCCUUUCACCAGGACUAUAGCCAGGCGAUCCGGGUCGUCGGAAGGCUGACUUUGGCUUUCUGCUCCCGCUUCCUCCAACGGGGCCGUUUCAGCUGCAUCAGCAUCCGGAUUAAGGUUGCCCGGACGGUUGAUAGAUGCAGCUUCCUCAGCCACGUUAGCCAGACGCGCAGCCGCGACCAAGGAAGGACCUGAGUGAUUCAACCCCGACAUGCGUCCGGGGCCGCUUGAGAUAGAGUGCGGAGCAGCAUUUACUGGCUCCUCUAUCAUUACUUCCCCCUCAUAGGUAGUUUGGGGAGGAGGAAACUGCUUGGGAGGAGUGGGUUCCUUCAUGUCCUUCCCAUGCUUCUUCACCAGCUUCCCCCUUUUUCCUGAAGUUUUCUUUGGAGGAGAGUCCGGACCCCGCUUCUGUCCGGGAGCCUUCCGGAUAGUGCCUUCAGUUUUUUUCUGAUCUCUAUCCUCCAGGAGCUUUCGCCGCCUUUCAGCGUCAGCCUCUUUGGCUUCCUGACAGAGGGGGAGCUCCUUCACAGUAUAAUGCUCCCCAGGCACUAUCUCAUCCUUUGCCAAUUUCCUAGGAAGAAUAUUGAUAACAUAUUCCUGGGGCUCCCGGACGACCUCCGUCAAAUUCCGCGCGGAAAGCAAUGUUUUGUAGGCCCUCUCCUUGGGGUCUAUUUCAAAUAAUUUGCAGACGCAGGCAAAGGACGCCUUUUCCACCCAAUCCACAAGGUGGCCCCUCAAUUCCAAACCUGCAUUGUCAGCAACAAAGGGUGAGAAUUCUGUCCGGAAAAAUCAGAAAAAAUCAGCAAAGCAAAAUCCGAAUAAAAAAUCGCAAAACAAGAUUACCCGGGAUUUGUAAGGUAUAAUUCGGAGAAAAAGGCCUCGACGGAUGCUGCGAUAGCCCCGCCCAUCCACCCCAGACUGCCACCAGCCCCUUCGCCCCUCCCUUUGUCGAAUCUGGCAGUUCUGUCACCAUUUGAAGGGAGGGCAGGUGAGCGGACACACUGAAGAUAUCAUUCUUUGCUUUCUUCAGGGAAUAGACAAAGAACAAUUCCAGUAGCGUAAGGUCGAGGCUGUACAGCAUGUUGAUAAUGCUGCAUCCCAUCAGCACCCGGACAAGGUUGGGAUGAAUGAAGAUGGGUGGAAUCUGAGAGAAGUGGAGGAAUUCCUUGAACAAGGCUGGCAGAGGGAACCGGAGCCCCGCGUUGAAUUGUUCCUUUGUGAAGAGGAUAGCGUUUUUUCCACCUUUCUCAGUAGGAAUAGCCGCCUCCUCGUUCACCAGGUCUAUCAAUACGUCAUGGGGGAUGCGGAAUCGCUCCCGGAACUCCUUCGCAUUUANNNNNNNNNNNNNNNNNNNNNNNNNNNNNNNNNNNNNNNNNNNNNNNNNNNNNNNNNNNNNNNNNNNNNNNNNNNNNNNNNNNNNNNNNNNNNNNNNNNNAAUCUGGCAGUUCUGUCACCAUUUGAAGGGAGGGCAGGUGAGCGGACACACUGAAGAUAUCAUUCUUUGCUUUCUUCAGGGAAUAGACAAAGAACAAUUCCAGUAGCGUAAGGUCGAGGCUGUACAGCAUGUUGAUAAUGCUGCAUCCCAUCAGCACCCGGACAAGGUUGGGAUGAAUGAAGAUGGGUGGAAUCUGAGAGAAGUGGAGGAAUUCCUUGAACAAGGCUGGCAGAGGGAACCGGAGCCCCGCGUUGAAUUGUUCCUUUGUGAAGAGGAUAGCGUUUUUUCCACCUUUCUCAGUAGGAAUAGCCGCCUCCUCGUUCACCAGGUCUAUCAAUACGUCAUGGGGGAUGCGGAAUCGCUCCCGGAACUCCUUCGCAUUUAGUUUAUCUAUCGCCUUUUCGCCAGCCUCGCUGACCCGGACAGACGAAACAGUCUUUUUUGGAGUCAUUUCUUACCACAAAGCCAAAGCAAAAUCUACACGCAAAAACAAUGCAAACGGUCCAGACCAAGCAAUCAGAAAAUACACAAACUCAAAGCAGUCAGAAAAACCCCUCAAAAACCCCUCCAAACAAACAACAAAGUACCAACAUUAAACAAACAAUUGCAAGCGACUUGUUCAAAACAAAGCCAGGAACCAAGUUUAAAGAACCGGCAAACGCAACCAAAGGAAUGACAAUAGCAAAGAGGUACGUACCAAAUAGAGCUCUGGAGAAGAAAAACGGUUACUCUCUCGGUAUAAAAUCACCGGCAACAAACAAACGAGGUCGUUCGAAGUUUUUCUCAGAAAAGCAAAGGACGCAGAAAAAGUAAGAAGAAGGAAGGCUCUCAAGAGAAUGCAGUAGAAAAAAUACAAAAAGAGGUACAGUGCCCUAUUUAUAGCAGGACAGCCCCUCGGAAAGCCAAACCAACAGCCGUGUUAUCAUUGAAACGACAUAUUGCCUGGGGAUACACAGGGUCGGCGGCUCGCCAUAAAUGCCUUUUUUGGCUUUCGCACCCCCACUCGCCACGUGGCUAAGUUAGACGAAUGGACUUUUUCAAUUUUCAAAAACCCAGUUAUUUUUAACCCGCCCAUUUUUUGGCAAAAUAAGCAAGUUAAAAAGGGGGGCAAUGUAGGGACCCCUCCCCUUGGGAAACACGUGGCACGCGGCUCAUGGUGACGCGUGGCACGUGCUGUCAGCCGGACCAUCAUCAUCCGGAUUCCCCUACAGAUACGUAUGGUGCGACUAUCCUAUCCGGAACCCCCCAAGGAAAGACAAACAACGUUUCAGCUUCUCCUAUCCAAGGAAGAGCAAACGACGCUGGCAGAACGUAGACACCCGGAUAGUCUCCACAAACACAUCCGGAUAUUCAGCAUGAUCCAUCCGGAUAUAAAUCGUCUGGAUGGUCAAUUAAAGUAAAGCGAGUCUUACACGCAAUCACAACAAACAGCCAUGGCCCACAUCCCAUCACCUGCAGAAUGAGAAGACAAGAGGAAGUGACAGCAAGUCACUUCCCACGAUCAUUCUGCAUAAUCGCUUCCCACGAUCUCUGACAGCCGCAUCACCUACCAUGGUCUCUGACAGCCAUUCGUAGGAUGAUAGUGCUCCUACUAACACCUAUUGUCAUCAUCACAACAGAAAAUAUCUCCCCACCAUUAAUGAGAGGAACAGUACCCCUGAAGCUGUAUAUAUAUGACUUCACACGAAGAAGAAAGGGAUGAUCUCCCGGUAACCUCUUGACACCUAGUAAAAGGCCAACUGCCUCAUAUAUCUUAUUCUCUUACCAUGGCUAACAACAUCAUCGGAGGGUGCAUCCGGACACCCUGUCCGGAUGCCUUUUUGCAGGUACAACCACUGAAUCAAGAACCCCUUGUGUGUUGAGAAUCGCGUGUCCAUCCAUCUAGCAGCAACGCGGCCCACCUGAUACGCGAGGUGACAACAGAGAGGUCAUCAUGCUCAUCCUAGUGCCAAUUAACUCAAAACAACUAAGGAUAAUUCUAUGAUGGGGUAAUUAUCGAACAAGGUGAUAUUACAUGAUAAGAAAAAGGUUUAUUUGAUAUCUCAAUAUAAUUUGAUAUUUAGGUUGCUUAAAAAGAUUAAAAUGAGAUUGAAGAAUGAUCCGUCAUUUUCGAAUUGUGUGGCGGGUCGAGUGUGGGGAACAUCAUCCUAAGAGUAAAGCCACGCCAGAGAGAAGUCCCACUGGCACUGAAAUCAAGGCAACUAGAAGAAAAGGCUUCAGUUACGUCGUCAACCGAAAGAGUUGAAGUGAAGCCAUCCAGAUGAGGCAUUAACUGCAAAGAAAAAACAAAACAUGUGGCUGCUUAAUUUCUUGAUAUGGUGGAGCCGCAUGAGGGCAUGAGUUGAGUAUAUAAGUGGAUGCAAGCUUCAUUCCUUGACCAUUAAGCCUCUUUGGGUUACUGAAUACUGAGAGUAGAACCAAAUUGCAAUGGCAAAUUCACCUGUAGUGUGGUUAGCAUCCGUGUGGCUUGUGUCCAAUAUAUUGUCCCUUCCAUUCCUGGAAUUGGGUAUAUCUUCUUGUGGUGGCUCAUGUCAAACACUUAAUGACUGUGAAGGUCAGCUCAUGCAUCGAUGGUAAAUGUAACGACGAUCCCGAGGUCGGGACUCACAUAAAUGGAGGAAGUUCAAUUACCCCUCCACCUCCACCUCCCGGUACCUGCCAGCCCUCCGGAACUCUUGCGUGCAAUGGUGGAAAACCCAAAAAUACCUACACAUGCUCUCCUCCGGUCACCUCCUCCACGCCUGCCGUUCUAACUAACAAUAAUUUUGAAAAAGGAGGGGACGGUGGAGGCCCAUCCACUUGCGACAACAAAUACCAUGACAAUUCAGAGCGCAUCGUAGCAUUGUCAACUGGGUGGUAUAAUGGGGGAUCCCAGUGUGGAAAGAUGAUUAGGAUAACGACUCAAAAUGGGAGGAGCGUGUCACAGUGGUGGAUGAGUGUGACUCCAAAUCUUUAUGAUUAAUGUUUUCCGUGAUGCCCCAAUUACUAAUACAUGCAGUUACUUCGUCAACGCAACAUAUAUCAUGUGAACAUUACUAUACUAUCUGCCUACAAGAUACUGUUGGCAGUACGUACGUACCAACCAAUUAGUAUCUCUAGGAUUCUCAUAGUAUUAAUUAUCUAUUCCAAUCUACUCAUUUUCAUCGAAAUAACUAUAAUUAAAAUAUCUGCAAACAUUUUAGGAAAAUAGAUAUGCAUACCUAUGGGUCUUUUGGACUUAAAACUUACCACAGUACAGAUAUAUCAAAGCUUUGUCAAGUGUUGUGGUAGUAGAACAUAUAACUGUAAACCAAAGACUUUAUACGACUACUCGGAUACAUUUGUACAUGUCUAUGAAUUCACACACUUAUUGCCCUAUGGAUAUCCCAACUAUCAUGAGAAUUAAUUGUAGAGUACGUAGGUCUCAAUCUCUUAGGAUGGCCCCAGUUCCACACUCAUUCAGGUAAUUAUCAAAAAUUUUCCUGCCAACCAUCCUAACUUUAUAGCUUAUAGACUAAUUAAGACUUUCCACUCCGGCUCUAUAGCACUACAUGAAAGUCGUAAUGUAAAGACAUCCCAGAUGAAGUGUGGCACAAAUAAUGAGGAGGAAGAAAAAUCGUAAUGAACAGAAAGCCCAAUAACUAGCAGGGAAAGCCAAUGACUCCCAAGCACCACGUGUAUUAUGCGCACAAGCGGAAAUAAUUUGGAGAAAAUUUAGAUUUGCACGUGUAUCAUGUGUUGAAAGUCAAAAUUAUGUUUGGGUAAAGGACCAAUAUGACCCAAAAUCUAGAUUUGCACCCUUGACACUUUUAAAAUAGAACCCUACAUUUCAAACCUAUUAUAUAUAUACCAUUUGGAAAUAAAAUACCUAAAUAAAAGGGAUCCGAUGAUCAAAUGGCCCCUUUGUAAAUCAAUGAGAGAUGAAGAUGCUCAAAAAUCUUCAUAAAUAAUUGAAAUUUUUUGUUCCAUCAUUUCUAGAUACAAAAAUGGGUUUAUGGAUUUAAAGAGUGUUUUUCAAGGGGAAAGCCCCUUGACCUUAUUGCCUAUGGCCUCUUUUAUAAGCAUUCUUCCCAUGCAGAUGUAUUGUAAAUCUUGUGAAGGAGCAGACUUUUUCUAUAAGCUUUAACUUUUGGGUGAAUGAGGAUAAGAGCAGUUGAAUUUGUCUUUUCAAGCACAAGUUGGUCAAUCAUGUCAACUUGUAAGAAGAUCUUCCCUUUUUAUGAUCUUUAUUUUGGGGUAAGGUAAAUUUGUAUCUUUUCAAAUAAGUGUUGUAUGACUGCAAAUGAGACUUUUUAAAAACUAUAAGUUUUAGAGUAAACUUGUGUUGUUCAUUUGGAAUUAGGUUCUUUAAUCAAAUUGGGUGAAUGGUGCUACCUCUUUACUCGAGAUGGCCUCAGGGUUGGGUGGCUGAAGAUUAGUAUUUCAAGAUGGCUUGUUUAUUGUUCACUUCAAGAGACAAGAAAGAACUCAUUCCUACAAGGUUGCUUCGCCCUACCAAAGAAUUGUUGCUUCUUCAAUAAAUAUUCCUUCUCUGCGGGAAGGCUCCACUUUUAUAGUUCUUAAUUCAUGCAUCAUUAUUACAAAAGUUGCAGCCGAGGGAUUGUGUACAUAAACUAUGGUCUAUGAAGACAGCCAUAUCAAUGCCUUGAUAGUGUGAAAUUUAGCUUUCUUUCGAGUAAUUUAUUUCCCCCCCUUUUAUAGGUAGAGGGUGGAGCAAGAUAGGCGGAUGAUCAAAAAUCGACUAGUGCAAAUUGAAUUGAAAGGAGUCCAAUUGGGGUUGGCCCAGCAAUUUGAUUGUGUGGAACUCUACCAAGAAAUAGCACAUGAUAUAACGUCACAAAAGAGGAGAACGAUUAGUUCUGGAUUGAGUUAUCAUAAUUUCGUGCAGAGCCAAGUUUCAUCCACCCAUCACGCAUGCCCGGAAAAAAAACAAAAAAUCUGAGGAGCUACACUAAAUGCCUCCUCAAUAGAGCAGGUUGACCCGUAGCCAAUGCCCACAAGUUAAUGGCCAAGUUGAAGAAAUUAAAGGUGCCCCGCUAUGUGGACCAAUUGCAUUUAGCACUCAUUACUUCCUGAGCCAGACAACAGCUUGGAGUGGAUUCAGUAUCAAUAUAAGCAGCCUCUUCCUUAGGCCUCAUCCAAAACAUUCCAAACCGCUGGGCCAAUUUACCUUAUUGAAGGUGGCUCCAAUGGCAAAUUUAGCACUGUUGCUAGCAUCUCUGUGUCUUCUCUCCAACAUUUUCUCCCUCCCAUUCCUUGCAUUUGCUAUAUCCUCCUGUGGUGGCCCAUGUCAAACCCUUAACGACUGUGAGGGUCAGCUCAUAUGCGUCAGUGGUAAAUGUAAUGAUGAUCCAGACGUCGGGACUCACAUUUGUCAAACCCCAUCACCAUCCCCUCCAAGCGGCUCUAACUGUCAAGCCUCCGGCACUCUUACGUGCGGGGGAAUAUCCUAUCCCACCUACAGAUGCUCCCCUCGGGUUACAUCCUCCACACCUGCCAAACUCACAAACAAUGACUUUAGCGAAGGCGGGGACGGUGGAGGCGCGUCGGAGUGUGAUGAGCAGUACCAUAGCAACUCGGAGCGUAUUGUCGCCCUGUCAACCGGGUGGUACAAUGGCGGAUCGCGAUGUGGAAAGAUGAUCAGGAUUACGGCACAAAAUGGGAGGAGUGUGGUGGCCAAGGUGGUGGAUGAGUGUGACUCCAUGAGGGGGUGUGACCAAGAGCAUGCAUACCAGCCUCCUUGUAAGAAUAACAUAGUUGAUGGAUCUGAUGCUGUGUGGAGUGCUCUGGGGCUGGAUAAGGACAUAGGUGUAGUGGAUGUUACCUGGACCAUGGCUUAGGUACGUUAGCUUUAGUGCUUGUAGCCACCUAAUAAACGGCGUUACGUACCGAGCUUCAAUGCCUAAUUACUGGCUGUGUUGUAUCGACACAUUAAUAUGAAGUAAAUAAAUGGUCAAGAUUUUAAAAAGUAUUUUUAGUAUUUUUAAAACUUAAAUAAUAAAAAAAAUUAAUAAAAAUAUUAAAAGUCAUUUAAACGGACUCUAAUUUUAUGUUGUGAGAUCACUUCCUUGACUAGCUUUAUUAAAUUAGUAGGCAACUUGACCUACCUAGCUAACUUAUAUUCGACAUCAUCGUUGUUAGCCUCUUUAAUGACACAAUUAAUUAGACUAGAAAAUCAAAAUUGAUAAUAAUUCACUGAAAAACCAUUAAGGAAAUUGGAGUCGAUUUUUAGAAAAUUAUCCUUGUGAUAUACCUUUAUGAAUGACUCUCAUAAGAUACUCCCUCUAAUAGGAAUCAACAAAUGUUUUUAGAAAGAUUAGUAAUUCAACAAAAAUGACCUAUAUGGUAACAAUGGAAAAGUCCCACCACGUUCCUAUAGUUGGUUUGGCAAUAUCAUCCUUUUAAUUACUACAGCCCCAUUUGGAUUGUAGCUACCUCAAUUCAAUUCCAUUCACGGUUGCUUUUGAAUUGAAUAAGAAGAUCAAAAUUCUUUACUUAUCUCACUUGAUUGCUCUAAAGUUUGGAUUAAGAUUUUUUAGUAAAGUUAAUUUAAAAUUUAUUCUAAAUUAUAAAAUUUUAAUAUAUUUACCUUCAUUAAUUUUAACUAAUACUUUUCUCAUUAAUUUUAACUCAUAUUUAUUUUCAUUAAUUUUAAAUAAUAAAUUUAUUUGUAAAACAUCUAGAUUUAAAGUACAAAUGAAUAACAUAACUAUAAAAUAUUUAUUGUAAAAAAUAAGUUAUGGAUGUUUAAAGUAUGGAACUAUCAUUCUAAAAUACACUCAUUGUUUUAAAAAAAUUGAGAUUAAAAAUAAAUUAAUCAUUUUAACUCAAUACUUAAAGUAAAAAAUAAUUUUAAAUUAUAAUAUUAAGUUAUUCUACCCGACAUACUUAAUGAUUUAAAUUAAGUUAUUAAGUCAUUAAAUUGAUUUAAUAACACCCUUUUAAGAGUAGAGAGAAAAUGUUGACUUCCUUUUACUAAAAUUUUCCAUUGCUUCGUCGUAAUUCAUAUUCAAGUUGGCUAUGUGAAGAAAAGAGGCGCUUACAAUAGGACAUUUUCCUAGCUAGAUAACAGAAUGGACUAUCUUGCAUUGGGUUGGACAAAGAGCCAAUACAUAAACCCAAGCCCAAGCCCAAUUAACGUUGGAUUGGGUUGGAAACCUACUGAACUAGCUAUUGGGCUUAAUAUGAAUGUGGCCUGGGCCCCGAUUUAGGCAUCUAUAAUAUGAAAUACAAAUAAUUGCCUUUAUGCAUGUCACUUCAGAUAAAAGAAAAUAAGUUCCUAGGAAGCAUGGAAAUAUUUGCUUGCACACCGGUCUGAUUUCUAAAAAUUGCCGGAAAAAGAUAAAAUGCAAUGUGAAAAUGAAAGAAUAAAGUAGAAAUAAGUAAAUUUUUUAAGUUUGAUUUUUUUCCCUUUAUUCACUUUUAUUAAUUUUUUAAAUACAAAUUAUAAAAAUACACAAAAUAAAAUCAAAUAUAGUUGAAAACUUGAAAUUAGUUAAAAUUUUAAAAUAAUAAACUAUAAAAUAAUUUUCAAUUAUUUUCAACAUUAAGACUAUUUGAGAAUUCAAAUAUCGGAAUCUCAAUAAAAAUAGUAACUACUUAUAAAUAAUUAGUAGUUUCAAUUAUGGUUCUAAAUAUUAUAUAAAAAGUAAUUAAAAAUACUUAAAAUUUAAUACUAAAAAUAAAUUUCUUUUUUAUUAAAAGGUUUUUGAGUUAAAAAAAAUUAUUAAGAAAAUAGAAAACUGUUUUUUGAAAACAAUUUUCGAACAGGGAAUUUUUUUUCUGCUGUCUUUUAGAAUUUUUGAGACUCCGAGGUCGUCCAAUGACUAGUAAAUUUUCUUGCUCUCACAAAGGGAAGUAAAAGAAGUAGCCCAUCAAGGAGGAAAAAAAAAACACGAAAAUGGGGGCAGGUGUAAUAAUGAUAUAGAAAUGCAAGCAUUAAAUGUGUCUACCCAAAGUCCAAAGACGUCGAGAGAAGAUUUUGUAAGUAGUAAUAAUUACAAGAGCAGACUUGAGCAGUGGCGAACAAUGAUUUCAGAAGUGGGAGUGCAUAUAUGGCAUAUUAUUAGGAUUUGUAAGUGAAAUUUUUUUCUAUUUUUGUUGUUUGACCUUUCUGAGUGGUGGUGGAUGUCUAUGUCUGCCCACUCCUCAGUUCUGAAUUUGGGUUUGUAAUUGUCCCUCAUCACCCAAUUAUGGCUUCCACAUUCACAAUACCCAACAUGCUUAUUAAGCUUUCAACUCGGGUAUUCUUACUUGUUUCAACUUUUUUGCUUAAGGCAAUUUCCUUUUGGAUUUCGGAUUAUUUAUUAUUUUAUCAUUAUUUUAAAAAAAUUAUUGAAUAAAAAAUAUUACAAUAAUUUUUUUGAUAUUAAAAAUAACAUAUUAAAUUUUUUUAUUGUUUAAUACUUAAUAUUGUUUAGUUAUAGUUAAGUUAAAAAAAAAAAAAAAAACUCCACCUUAUAGAAAAUUAGAACACAUUUAAAUUACUGUUUUUUUAUUAUUGUUGUGAAAAUUGUUGAGCUAAGUUUGUUCAAUCUAUCACUAUGUAUUAAGCUAUUUUAUAUUUUGGUAUUCUCUACGCUUAAAUAUAUAAUAUAUAUGUGUAUAUAUAGUAUUAAGUUUUUUUUAUCACGUGAGAAAUGUGAUUGAAAAAAUGAAAUAAAAUUAGGUUUUUUUUUAAUAUUGUUUUAGAGCUCAAGGGCGAAAUUAAUGUUCAUUUAUAGACCUUUUUGUGAAAUCUUAUGCGAUAUGUUUUAUCUCUAUUUCUUUUUUAUCAAUGUUCGUGAUAAAUUUUCACAUCAAAUAUCAAGAUAUUUAUAUAAAUUUUCAAGUUGAAAAAAAUUUAAUUAUUAUAUUCUCAUUUUAUUGAAGUAGAAAAAAAAAUUUCGUGGGUUUUUAUAUUUUGAGGGUUUUUUCAUGUUAUAUUUUGUGUCCAAUUUUUGGUUAAAUGUUAUUGUCAUUCUUGAUUAUUUUUUAGAUUGUUAUAAUUAUUGAGUAGAAUAUAAUAUCAAUUCACAUUUGGUAGAUGUGUGUUGGUAUUCUAUAUUAGAUGAUAAAUAACUUAUAACAUGUAGUGUAAUAAUAAUUAGGGCAAAUUGAAUCUUAUUUGGUCUAAUAUGAUUAACUUUUCGGAUUGACAUAUUUAUAAUUUAAUGAACUUAUUUUCUUAAAAUAUAAUUUUAAAUGAAUAAAAUAUUAGUUAAAUAUAUUAUUAUUAUAAUCAAGUUAAUUCAUGUUAAACACAUCCAUUCAAGUUAGUUUUUUUUUCUUAUUUAUUAAAGUUUUAAAAUUAUUUUUUAGUAUAAAAAACUUUAUUAAUAUAAAAAUUAAAUCAUAUUUUUAUUAAUAUUUUGAUUUCUCUCUAUUUAUUGUAUUUUCAUUUCUAUUUGUGGCCCGCCAAAAUAGAGAUAAGGAAAAAACUAAAAAGGGGUGGUGAAAGAAUAUUAUGAUAUGAGGCGGUGUAGAGUAGACCAUCCCGAGGUAAUUGAGUUGUGUGGAUACGAAAGAAGGGGCGUGUGAGAGAACAGAGACAUAAAUAUUCCGAUUUUGCGCAAGGGGCCCCACUUGUAAUAGAUGCCUUCUUCAUAUCAUAUCAUAUGAUGAGGGGAAGGUCAAGUGUAUGAACGGUCAAUGUGAUGGGGUCAAGCAUUUGUGAAAUUUUCAAUCCUCUAUAAAGUAUAAACUACACCACCAAUCACACCCUCUUAUUCUCAACACAUCCACAACCAAACACACCCUCACCGUCAUCAUCAUCAUCAUCAUCAUCAUAUUACUUACCAUUUUACUACAUCACCAUGCUACAUGCACCCACUUCCUUUUCACCUUGGGUUCUUUUUUACCCAUGGCAACAUUGAUUUACAUGUGAAAAAGUAACCAUUUUCUUUGAGAGAGAGAGGACUUUAGCUAAAUAUGGCCAUUAGAAUCAAUUGGAUGGGAGGAAGAGGACUUUUGGUAAAUGUGACCAUUGGAAUCCAUCUCCAACUAGAAACACCACCCACCCCCUCAUCAGCUACCAAAGUUGGUCCGUUGAAUAAAAUCUUUUGUGAAGAAUCCAUGGGUGAUCGGGUCAUUUCAACCGUAUUUUUCUUCUCAUGAGUCAUAAUUAACACAACCUGACCGAUCACUGUUUUUCACUUGUAACAGAUGUGUCACGCAGCCAAGAAAAGGGUGCCAUUAUUAAUUUAUGAACGUAAGAUAGCUUCAUUUUCUCUGCGACCAAACAGUGUGAAAUGACAGUUUUCGUUAUUUAUUUUAUUUUGAAGAAAAAAGAGGCGGUGAGCCGUGAGUGGCACAGAGGUUAUUACCUGGAAAAUCAAGUGCGGAAAUAAAAGCGAAAAGACCACCGUAAAUGACCUAACGAAGAAAAGAAAAAUAAAGUACUUAGAAGCAGAGCGGUAGAGGGGGAGGGGAGCGAGUUGAUAGAGUUCCUAGGGCUUCUGUAUUGAGGUGAUGUGAUGACGUCAUCACACCAUGUUCAAGGCCCUGUGUUGAAGUGAUGUGAUGACGUCAUCACACCAUGGCCGUCGUCAGGGCUGGAUUGUUCCUUUUGCUGUCUUUUAUUUUUUCAAAUUUUAAAUUUCUUUUUUCUUAAUUGUUUAUUGCCUUUUGAGAGGGGCUCUUCAGGCUGUCAUAUUGUUAAGGUCACCAUCCGUGACGUCGACGUCCCUCAGGGCUCCUGUAAUGCCCUUUUGCUUUGCCAUUUAUUACACAGAUUGCCAUAGGUAUCCCUGGAUUAGGGAGUUAUUGCAUAUCUGGAUCAUUAAAUACAUGGAUCUCCUUGCACUUAGCCGAGGGAACCGACAAAAUUUGUCAGAUUUCGACUGUUUUUUAUCAUCUCGUUUUUUGUUAAGGAAAAAGCUAUUUACUACUUACUAAAAAAAUACAAAUUGGAAUAAAACAUUAUGUAAAUUUAAAGAAUAAAAAUAUAAAAAUAAUAAUAAAAAUAUUUCUAAUAAAAUAUUUUAAAGAAUAAAAAAUAUUUUAUUUUUAAUUUCAAUAUUAAUAAAAUAUUAAGAAUAAAAAUAAAAAAGAAAAAUCUAAGAGAAGAAAGAAUGAAAGAAAAUAAAAAAUAGAUUUAAAUUUAAUAAAUUAUUUUUAUAUAUUUAUUUAAAUUUAUUUAUUAUUAAAUAAUUUUAAAAUAUAUAAAUUUUAAAUUAAUUUUAAUUAUAUUUGUUUUUUUUAUAUUUUUUUAUAAUAAAAUCAAAUAUAAAAAAAAUAUUUUUUUUUUCCUUUUUUUAGAUAACCAAGCUUAAGCUAGACGAAGUGACUACUCUCUUUAAAUAUAUGAUUGGAUUGUUAUUAAAGAGAAGCAAAUUUUGCAACGGUCCUCAUAUUGAGAUCAGAUGAUGAUUAGUCAUGUAUCAACAUGCGACAUGGGAGAAUAUUUUUAUAAGCAAAAAAAAAAAAGAAAAAAGGAAAAAAAAGAGUGGGAAGCUGGCAAAUGCCACCUCAUCCAUAAACCCAUGGAUGGUAGUAUCGAAAUUAAUGAUAAUAAUUAAGGCCCUUUGUUUAACGGAGGAAUGUGGUGGCUUUUUAUUGGAAAGAAAAGCGAGCGAUUUUUCAUUCACGAGCUUGACAUUUUUGGACGUUAAAUCUAACGUCGACGUCAAGUUAGAGUCUUAAAAAAGCUAAGCUCGGUUAGCCGUUAAAGCUAACGGCAAUUAUCUUCCAUUCGCAAUUAUUGGUCUCGUCCUUUGCUCGUUUUUCUGCUCUCAAGCUUUCGUCGGAUUAUCGCCGGAACUCCACCGGAAUCUUACUGGGAGAGCUACUGCCACGAGCUGUAAUAGGUUGUUUUCAAGAUUAGGAUCUGAUCCAUGUCAGUACUCAGAGGUAAUGAACUACGCGAACUUGGUCACAGAAACUACAAAAUUUUCUCGCUCUUUUUUCUUGAAGUGAUAUGCAGGAAAUGAUUUUUCAUGGAAUAUUUGUUUUUCGUUUGGUUUGUUUGUUGGUUUUUGCUCUGAAUUAUGAAACUUUUGAAUUAAACUCUUGUUCUUUAUGGCUUUAUUCAAAACUUUCUGUAAAAAAAUCAUAGCUCUAGAGCAGGUAUGUGGAUAUGGGUUUUAUCUGUUGUUGGGAUUUUUUCACCUGGAUCUGUUUUGAAGUUUUAAGAUUCUAUAUGAUGAAUUGAGGGGCGGAGGUUUGAUGCUGUUUAUAAUUGAAAUUAGGGUUUCAGUGGGUGAAGUGAAGUAAGUUAUUGUAGAUGUUUUUCUAUGCCGGGUCGUAGUUGAUUGGCUUGUUGCCUUUUAUUUACGUUUAGUUUUGAUGUGGAGGUUUCCUUUUCGGUUUAUGGUGAAUGCUGGGUUUGGUCGAUAUUGGAGGUUACCAACAGUGGAAAAUUUCAGAUGGUGAAUACUGAGUUUGGUCGAUAUUGGAGCUUGCCAACCGCGGAAAUUUUCAGAUGGAGUGUCUGAAAAUGAUGUUACUUGGUUGGUAGCGUUCUAGACUUUGGAAAUAACAUCACCAGUGAACUGAAGGAAGAGAAGAAAGUGAACUCUCUCUACAGUGUGUGUCUCUGCGUGGGUUGUGGUGAAGGUAGACUUUGGAAAUAACAUCACCAGUGAACUGAAGGAAGAGAAGAAAGUGAACUCUCUCUACAGUGUGUGUCUCUGCGUGGGUUGUGGUGAAGGUGGUGAAUCUGGUGAUGUUACUUUGAGAAGAUUUUUCGUCCACGUUGUGUUGUCUUCGUUUUGUCUAUCAAGGUCCAUGUGACCUCCCACAACUAUCACUCUCUGGUGAAUUUUUCCCACAUGGAUUCCUGUUCAUUUCAUUCAUUUCUUAUCAUGUUUUUCUGCUAUCCUACGUUACUAUUUGCUCUCUCUCUCUCUCUCUCUCUCUCUCUCUCCCCUUUUCUUUCCCUUUCUCUCCCUCUAUUUCUAUCUCUCUUGUGCGUUUGUGGAUGUGCGUCUGAACGAUUAUAUUUAAUGUUUCGUUAUGUUUCUGUCUAUAGACGGGUACUUAUUCGUCUGUGAUUAUCUCAUUCAUUGCAAGCUUCAUAUUUGGCUUUUAAGUUUUUAACUUCGACUGAACAGCAGGAAAUGCAUAGGAUGAUAUAUCUAGUUGAUGGGUUGUGAUAGAGUUCUCUCCUCAAACCAUGUGCUGGGUGAGUUUUAGUGGUGGCAGGUUGCAGUAAGGCCUUCAGUUGUGAACCCAAGAAACGCUAGCUAAGAUCUUUUUUGGAUGGAGAUGAGGAACUUUAGACCUGAAUCGCAUGUAGCACAGCAAAGCCGGCGUGAUAAGCUUAGAGUUCAACAUCAAAGUUCAACCCCAGCUCACCAUUUGGAGGAGUUCCCUAACAGUUUGGAACAAUUAUCGGUCCAUCCAGAACUAAACCCAGAUCUUAUUCAAGUUCGGAAUGUUAGGAACGGCAAUGUGCUUUAUGAUCCUAUUGUGCUCUCCUCGGAAAUGCUCAAUUUUUCAUCGAAUUCUCAUGUGUUUUUGGGUAGCAAGGAUGCAAUGGUGGGGCAAGAUUCGAAUGCAGUCUCUCAGGAUGCUUCAUUCCCCAAUUUGUCUCACCCAAUUUCAUCUAAAGCAGCUGGUGACCCACAAAACUGUGACAAUUGGAAAGGCCUUGGUACACAGCAAAGCUGUGAUUGGAUUGUGAAUUAUGCUAAUGGAACGGUGGCUAGUGAAAGCAAUCAAAACCCUAUGUAUGUCGGGGAAGUCUUGUCAGCCAGCUCUAUGAAGGUAAACAACAUUUCUGCAUCUUCACUCGAUUUGAAGCCUAAUUACAGUGGAUAUCAGGAUGUGCAGUCAUCGAUAACCAAUCCAUCCAGUGAAAUUUCUAGUCAAGAUAGCCAGAAGCAUUAUGGUGAAAUCCAUUUCAAUUCUCCUCAACUCUACCGAAACACGCUCCAAGAGGUUGUUACUUCAGCUGCAGUUGGAACCCAGGGGCUAGAAAUGGCAUCCUUUGCGCAUCAGAACAUUAGGGACACUGGCCGUGAUUCAUGGGAAGAUGGUGGGAAUGAACUUGUUCUUCUUCCAAACUUUGGAAAUCAGUCUAGUGCUCUCCGUCUUGAUUCUUCUGUUGCUUGGAUGACUAGGCCAGUAGAGGGUUGCCAUCAGUGGAGUGGUGGUGAUUUGGGUGUUCUUGCAAACAAGAGUCUUGGAGACUUGAGUACCAUUGCAAGUGAUUCUAACGCACAAGGUCUGUCACUUUCCCUUUCAUCACAUCCUUCAUCCAAAAUACAGGUAGCUCAGUUUGGGGAGAGAUAUGAGUCGAAGGAUCUACGUUCUGGAACUGCAGCUUUCAGUUGCCCACAAGAUUUGAAAGUUAUGAGCUCUGGUUAUUUAUGUUCGGAUUCAAAGCCACCUGUUAGUGGUAAAGGGUAUGGAAAUUCCCUUCACGACAUAGUGGGGACUUCUACUUACACUCAUAGGAGUGCUGGCCCUCUUGGGCCAUUCACUGGGUAUGCAACAAUUUUAAAGAGUUCAAAAUUUUUGAAGCCAGCACAACAGGUCCUGGAUGAAUUUUGUAAAGCAGCAAGUCCCAAACUGGUGAAAACAUGUGAGGUAACUCGGAGGACAUCUGGAGAUGUUAGUGUUUCAGUUCCUGAUGCGGUUAACACAUCUGACACUGAGGUUGGAGCUGCCAAGGGUGGCAAUUCAGCUGUCUCGUCCUCCACAUUUUAUGAUUCAAAUGAAAUUAGUGAAGGGGGAGUUAAGAGCAGCUCCUGUGAAUCGUAUAGGCCUGACUACCAACAAAAGAAGGCAAAGCUCUUGUUUAUGCAGGAGGAGGUAUGUUUUGUCCAUUUCUCAUGCCUUGUGCUUCCAUAAUUUAGGUAAAGUGCUUGAGUACACAAUGAACUUAUAUCAAUGUGUUAUAACAAGUAAUAAGACAUGGAAAUUAUUUGUUGUGUUCGUUGAAAUUAGAUUUCAAAAACCUACCACUUGUGUGUUAUAGCACAUUUACACUUUUUUUUUCUUAAAUAGAGGGAAACCAGCCUCUCAGUGACCAGCUUAAACAACUAAUCAGUGGAAAUUUUUUAGAACUUUAGCAAUGGUUGUUUUGGAUGGUGGAUCAAACCAAUAUAUGCUUAUCUUCAGUUUAGAGGUGGUUCAAGCUAUGUGAGGAUUCUGUUUAUUUUUGCCUAUUCCACUACAAAAACUUGUAGCCUCGUGUUUCUGCAAGGAUUGGUAAAAAUGCUUCUUUGCUGGAUGAUCAUUGUUUGUGUGGGGCCCCAUUAGCAAGGACCAUCCAAACAGUCAAUACAUGUUCAGAAAAUAUUCCAACACUGUUGAAAUUGAUUGUAGGAGGAGGUAUUUCAAUGCAAGUCCCAAAACAUGUAGGGUCAAUUCAAAACAAAAUUCAAGGAAAUUAAAUGAUUCACGUUUUAUGCAAUUUAAUGCAAUGACAUUGGAAAGGGGUUGAAAUAGUAGAGAAGAUAUUAGUGGCAUAUUAUUGAAGUGAAGCAAUCAUCUAAAGAUUUGGUGCAGUGAUGAAAGUGAAUUGGGUGGCAAUGCCAUUUGAUAAAGGGAUAAGGCUAGGCAGAAAUAUUUCCAAGAGAUCAAGUUCAGAAUUGUUUAAUUAUUUCUUGUGGCUUAGAGCAAUGUAACAAAGAUGCGCAGAGCAUCCAAAAAUGUGGUAGGGCCUUCAAUAAUGAUGUCCCCAAGAUUUACAUAGUGAAAUUUUUUAGAAUGUUGGGGAGUUCAGCACCUUUCUAAUAAAAUGACAUGCUGAUGGAUUUUGAGGUAGUGUAAUGGCAAGAUAAGGAACCACAUAUAUGGUUAGAAACAAGUAAUAUUUAUGAGAUAUUAGUGUAGAUUGAUCUAGCUGUUAGGGGCAAGAUGAUAUAAAAUAGCUUGAGAUUGUUAAUACAUAUGCAAUGAAGAUCACUAACGCCAAAAUUAUUAGGCAACUAAUAAAAUAGCUUGAGAUUGUCAAUUUAUUUGGGACAAGAUGAUGAAAAAAUAGGUUAAGAUGGUUAAUGCAUAAGUGACUAAGAUGAGGAACUCUGAAAUGACAUUCUUUAGAUGAUCCUCUUAGGGCAAGGGGACGGCCCCAAAAUGAACAUGAAUCAAGGUAGUGAGAAAAGACAUGUUGGUUUAUGGUCUAACCAAUAGUAUGGCUUUAUUAGAUAGAAUAGAAUUUCAAAAUAGGAGUUGCAUAGCCAAAUCCUAAGUAGAUGGGAAAACACCUAUGUUGAAGUGAGUUUAGUUCCUGGGUUGCAUGAGUUUGUGAGCAGAUGUCAGCUGUAAAUUAGCACCUUGAAGUCACAUUCGUCCUAUUUCCAUGUCUUCUUCUAGUUUGCCAACCUAGAGUGUGUUUGGCAAUGUUUCUACUCGAAGUGUUGUUAGUGGAAGGAAGUGUUUUCUACAAGAAUCACUUAUUAAGUGUUUCUCCAAAAACUAAUAUAAGUGAUUUUUCAACACUAUAAGUUAUUUUUUAGAUUUUUAGAAGUAUUUAUAAGUGAUUUUUUAGAUUUUUAGAAGUAUUUCCUAAAUUUUUUCAAAUAGCAAUUUUUUUUUUUCAAAAACACUUUUAGACUGAAAGCAUUUUCUAUAAUCACUGCCGAACGGACUCUUAGUAUCAGUACAUGCCAUUUAAUUGAUCUUAUACCAGUGCGAUUUACAAGUGCUAUGGAUUAAAUAUGUAUCCGAACAUAUGUAGGGAAGACUGCAUUCAUGAUCAGCAUGUUACAAGUAUGUGUUCCUUGCCAUAGUACACUUGAUUUAUUUGGGUCCUCAAGUAUUUACAUUCAUAAUCUAAAUGUCUAAAAUGCCCCUUUGGCCUAAUGUAACUCUCAUUUCUAGGCUCUAGACAUUUCUUGAUCAGCAUUUUGGAAUUCUUAGAUUGAUUAUAUUAAUAUUAGGCUUGAUGUCAAGAAUUUGGCAUAAAAUAUGAAUUUCAAGCCCAUGUCAUUUGAUCUUGGGUUCUUGGAAAAUGCAUGAUACUGAGAUUCCUUGGUGUGUUAAUUAUGAAAUUGUUUCUUUAGGUUGCGUUUUCCAAUUAGAUGUACUGAUCAUGGAUGAGGCGUGAAACUAGGCACUGCAAUAGAAAAUGUAACAAGUGAACUCAAAUAGCUGUGAUUUCAAUGUCUGCAGUUUGAUUGCUUUUCCUGUGACAUAGCCCUGGGCCCUUUUUAACUCUUGCAUUCAUUCUUUAUUGUUUCUUUAUUUUUUUGGAGUCAAAUCUCAUGUUGGACUUGUUUGUCAGGUCUCAUGUAGGUACCACCACCACACAAGGUUGUAAAUAGCUCACUUGUCUUGUCAGUACCAAAGGGGGAAUUGAAUCAUAUCAGAAUUAAAUCAAAACCAAGCAAAUGCAACUGACUUAAUUGCCAUGGAGUUCGCCUCUGGCAUGGCCUCUAGUGCAAAUUUUCUUCAUGGCUACUUAAGCAUGGAAACAAAUUUGCAACACAAUUUUCAACUUGAUAACUCCAUAGGUUGUAUGUACUAAAAUAUCUAGAGCUCCAUAGGUUUAACCUUUUCCUUUUACAAAAGAAAAAUAUGACGCAAAUCAUUAUUGGUUGCAAUGUGGUAUUUAGGACUAUGGUCUAGCUGGUUUCUAAAUUUUUCACGUCUUGUCAUAGAUUAGACUUGUGAUGGGGGGGUUUUAAAUUUGGCUCUUAUUCAAUUAGAUCAUUUCAGAAACAUAUCCUUUCUAUCUGAAACUGAAUUUGCAAUAUGUCUGCCAUAUGUGAAAAUGAACUUGUCUAUUGUACUUAGUGAUGCGCCUGGAUAUAUUCCAACCAAUUUGAGAAUUUGAAUUCCCUAAGUAAUCUAGACACUUUCUUUCUAGUCUGGAUUUUUUUUUUCUGCACUUUGUUGCACUGGAACUGAUUUUACUCUCCAAGAAACGAGUCAUCUGUUUAAUAUUUCAUCAUGGGUUGAAGGGGAGCUUCUUAUUCCAUUCUAGCGUCUUAGUGUUGUUAAUGAUAAUGUAGGUCUUGAUCGUAACAAAGUUCAAGAAAAUUACAUGGUUGAUCUGUAAGCUAGGUUUGAACAAAUUAAUGAUGCAUGUGAUAAAUACCUUACUAGUUAGAUUAUAUUCACAGCAGCGGACGGAUCCUUUCAUGAUCUCAUUUUUCUUUGAUCUUGGAAAUGUUCCUACUCCAAGAUGAUUCUAAAAUUCUAGUUUGUUAACAAUAGAAAGCAGAAGCCUUCUAGUGCCUUGUUUAUUUCCAUACACUUUUUUUUUUUUCACUCAGUUGACUAGCUUUAUUUGAUCAAAGAAAAAGAGGAAUAGAACCUUGCAAUCCUAGAUGAUUAUUGGAGCUUUAAGCUUUGUGCUUUAGUUUGCUUUCCAGUUGGCUUUGGAAUUCAAUGGACGUUUUAAACGUUCCCAGGUAUCAUAAGUUUCUAGGUUGAAGAUUUAAAGGUCUGAUUAUGUCUUGAAUUCUUUUUAUGAGAUUUUUACUUUUUUUAAUUCUUUCUAUGUUCACUACUGGUAGAUUAGAUUUCCAGGUAUUGAAUUUCCAGGUUAUGUUGACUUUCCAAGGUAACUGUUGAUUCAAUGUUAUAUCUCAAAGGGCACAUUCCAAAUGACCAUUUUUCUAUGUGGUAAUCCUGAUGAGAUUUUGAUGCCACAAAAACUUCUGGUUUAGAAUAUACUGAAGUAAUUAUAACCUCUAUUUUGUUUCAUCUUUGGUAAGAGAGAACAUACUGAUUUUUGAAGAGACUUCAUGCUUUUUCCAGGUCUUAAUCAUCAUUAGUUGAUUUGAAAGGCAAAUAAAUAACUGGCUAUGGAGUUGGAGCUAAAUUCCAUGUAGCAAUAAAACAUAACUGUAGAUGCCCCACUUUCUCGUCAUUCAGAUCUUGUUGCUGGAAUCAGAGAUUAUAUGUGCAAUGUUGUGCCCCUUGCCCAAUCAAUUAUUAAUGGAAAAAUGUCAAGUAGAUUAUCCCAGUCUCUAUAGCACCACCAUGGCAAUUAGAUAUUCUCAAAUAACAGUGCACCCUUCUUUUUUAAUCACUUUAGCAAAGCAAAGUCCCAAGCCCAAUAAAUUGUCUUCUUGCAAUAUGUGAAGGCCCCAUUACAGGUUUAAAAGAAGAGCCUCUGUGGUUGUAGAGUUGCCAACAACACUUCAAAAAUUCUCAACCUUCCAGCUUGUUACUAUUGAUUUUUGGCAUAAGUUGGGACCGGUCAAUGAUUAUAGAGUAGUGUAGUUCAACAAGUAUCACUCAUCUAUAAUUGUUUUUUUUUUAUUAUUUUGCAUUAUUGUCGUAACAAUGGGAUGCAACUGGCGCGUUUGCUAUGAUUGGUUGAUCUUGAAUCCAUUGUUGAGAAAUAUCUGCUUCCAGGAUUUUAUCUUUAAUGCAUUAGUAAUUUGUCAUUCAUGGUGUUUGGUCAUGAAUUUUGUUAUUGGAAAAUCACAUUUUGGUGACACUGCUUCAUUGUGCUAUUGAAAGGUUUGCAGAAGGUACAAGCAAUAUCAUCAACAGAUGCAAAUGGUGGUUUCAUCCUUUGAAACUGUAGCAGGCCUCAGUGCUGCGACCCCCUACAUUGCCCUGGCUCUGAAAACAGUCUCGAGGCACUUUCGGUUCCUGAAGAAUGCCAUAUCAGACCAGCUUAGGCACAUAAGGAAAGCCUUGGGGGAGGAUUUGUCAUCCCCCAGCACUGGUGCCUGCACUAGUGCAGGGGAUGCAAGUUCACCAAGGUUAAAGUUCAUGAACCAAAGCUUUCCGAAACACAAACCUGGUGGGGCUAACCUGGGUUUCCUUGAACCCCAACAACACGUCUGGAGGCCCCAACGAGGCCUACCAGAAAGGGCGGUGGCUAUUCUUAGAGCUUGGCUGUUUGAGCAUUUCCUUCACCCGUUAGUCUCUCUCUCUCUCUCUAUUCUUCUCUCCCAUUUGAUUUUUGUACAUUGUUUUGUUACAUCAACUUUUUGGUUUUUGUUAGGUAUCCAACGGACACAGAUAAACAUAUGCUAGCCACUCAAACCGGUCUCUCUCGAAAUCAGGUAGGUCCAACACCUCGGUUAUCAUUUUAUUAAUAUAUUUAACUUUCUAACCUUGAGUUUGGUGACUGAAAUAGCACUUAUGUGACGUUUUCAAAUGGGCUGGCAUGUGGGUCAGAAUCCAUAAUAACACAUCUGCCUUCAUUUUAUGAUUAUUGAUUGAUGCAAUUCUACCUAACACCUGUCUAAUCUAGCUGGCAAGACAGUCUUCUCAUUUUGCCUCACAGAAAAUACCCUUUGCCCUGUCAUUAAUAUCAGAAAUGGCAUGCUAAAUUGGGGGAAUGUGAGUUUGAAGUAUUGUGCCAUUAUCGCUAUAUGAAAUUAAUCUGGUGAAGGUCGCCCAGCUGUCAUGCCAUGGCAUGAGAUUAUCAGUCUAUGGUUCCUGCUUGACAAUGUUUUGCAAUGAAAUGCAUGCCCGCAUAAUGUUUUUUUGUUAGGUGAUGAUAUUCAGUUGAUUAAUGCAGGU